rnacentral:lncRNA from 1 species
AUCGAAUAUGGCUGUGCGGGUCGAUGAUGCCAGCAGCAAUGAGACUGCAAUUAUCACUUGUUUAGUUUCUGUGCUUGCCGUGGUUUACUUCGCAUGGAAUGUGAAAAAAUCAAGGAAAGCAAAUGCUAAACUUCCACCAGGACCUCGCGGCUUGCCUGUAGUCGGAUACCUCCCAUUUCUCGGAACUACCGACUUGCACAAGAGAUUCACGGAAUUAUCCGGAGUUUACGGUCCGAUCUUCAAGCUCUGGCUCGGAAAUAAAUUAUGUGUAGUGGUGAGCUCACCUUCCCUAGUUAAACAAGUGGUUCGUGAUCAAGAUACAACAUUCGCAUACCGUGACCCGCCGAUCGCUGGACUAGUGGCCACCUUUGGUGGCAAUGAUAUUGCGUGGUCCAAUUACGGUCCCGAAUGGAGAAAGUUGCGCAAAUUUUUUGUGGGCAAGAUGAUGAGUAACGCAAGCCUUGAUGCUUGUUAUGCUCUAAGAAAACAAGAGGUUAAAAAUACUAUCAGGGAUUUGUACAACAACGACAACAAAAUUGGUAAGCCCAUUGACAUUGGUGAAUUGUCGAUUUCAACCUUGGUAUGUGCUAUGCAGAACAUGCUGUGGGGUGAAGCGCUUGAAUUAAAAGAGAAACGGACCACUAAUCUUGGGGUUGAGCUAAAAUUUAAGCUUGCAGAACUCAUGGUGCUACUGGGAACACCGAAUAUUUCGGAUAUCUUUCCAAUGCUUUCAUGGCUCGACAUACAAGGUAUAGAGAGGAGAGCAAAGAAGAUUUCACUCUGGUUUGAAAAUGUUAUAAAUUCUACUGUUGAAAAGUAUAGAAGCAAGGACUUUAUUGUUGAAGGUAAACAAAGAGCAGGGGAAAAUUUUGUAGGAUCAAAUAACAAGAACUUCUUGCAGUUACUAUUGGAGCUUCAAGAAAAUGAAGACGGUUCUUCCUCAAUUAGCAUGAACCAAUUUAAGGGCGUGCUCGCGGUAUGUUAAGCAACUAGCCACGAACAGUUAUACAAGCACAGUUGUAUAUUUGCAUGAGUGACGCUUCUCAACUUUUUUUAAUUUUUUAAGUUAAAGUUUUAUUGUAAUCUUUUGAACAGGAUAUAAUUACGGGUGGAACCGACACCACAACUACGAUGGUGGAAUGGACAAUGGCAGAGUUGAUGCAGCAUCCACAAGUAAUGAAGAAAGUUCAGGAAGAAUUAGCUCAAGUUGUGGGCAUGGACAGUUGUGUUGAAGAAUUUCAUUUGCCUAAACUGAAAUAUUUAGAUGCUGUGGUGAAAGAAUCGUUUCGUCUGCAUCCUGCAUUGCCUUUAUUAGUACCACGCAGAGCAAGCGAGAGUGGCAGCAUUGGUGGCUAUACCAUUCCCAAAGAUACAACUCUUAUGUUGAAUGUUUGGGCUAUCCACAGGGACCCUCAACUUUGGGAUAAUCCCUUAGAAUUUCGACCCGAGAGGUUUCUGAAUGUUGGUAUCGAGAGUAAGUUCGAUUACUCAGGUAACAAUUUUCAGUACUUGCCAUUUGGUUCCGGUAGAAGGAUGUGUGCUGGGAUUCCUCUAGCUGAGAGGAUGCUGAUGUUUGUUUUGGCUUCGUUAUUGCACUCAUUCGAGUGGGAAUUGCCAGCUGGCACAAAGCUAAACUUAUCUGAAAAAUUUGGGAUUGUCAUUAAGAAAAAAGAGCCUUUGGUUGCUAUUCCAACACCAAGACUAUCCAAUUCAGAGCUCUACCAUUAAGACAGAAUGAUUGUGAUGAUUUUGUUAGUAUCGGAAGAUUUGUAUGUUAUUUCAAGUUCAAUCGUAAUAAAAUAUUUUAAUAAAAGUCCUCCGUUGCUAAUUUUUUUUUUUCAACGGCAUAAUCUGUCAUCGUGCUUGUGUUUGGAGCUACUUUGGAAUGAUUAUUUUUGAAUUACAAUUUAUAAAUAUUUACGUUUUAAAUUUUUUAUAAGAGUCUAAAUUUAUACACGUUCAGUAAAAGAUUCCCUAAAAGCUUUACAAUUCAAAAUUCUAUUAAAAGUAUAGAUGAAACUUUUAUACCUACUAAUUUUUUGGUCUAUUCUACGAGUUUAAAGAGGAGAUAUUUCUAGAGUUAGCAAAAAGUGUUACAUGAUUGUUUUCGCGUAAUGUCAUUUUUUAUUGUGUUAAAUUUAGUUUGACUCAAAUAUGACCCAUUUAAUAAUCGUGUCAAAAUAUUGAAAUUUGAACUCAACACAGAAAAUAAAUGGGUGACCAGUCACACCCAUUUAAUAAUUAGGUAACCAUGUCACUUAAUACGACAUAACCCAAUAACUCGUUUAAUACAUAUUUAACAUAAUUUAUAUUGUACAUUGUACACCCUUUUGUCAUAAAUUACACUAUUUUAUAUUUCUAAAUAAUAUUAUAUAUUGAUAUUGUAUAAAAAAAAUCAAUAAUCUCAAAAUUUGUACACCUCCUAACUUUUAAAAAGAAAUAAAAAACUAAUUAAUUAAUGUUUAUUUUAUUCAUUAAUAUAUCAUAAUCCUACAUGUGUUUUAUUUGUUAUUUUUUUAUUUAAAAAGAUAGGAAGGUGGAUGAAACUCAAAUAAAUUUUUAGCCUAUCUUGAUCUUUCAAGUUUCUUAUUUAAGUGGCCAGCUAAAGAAAAUUACUUGAAGCUACUCCAUCAAUUUAACAAAUUUUAUUUAUUUAUUUAAUGGAGGUGUAGAAAAUAAAAGUAUCUGCAAGCACAUUGCAAUAGUGAAAGCAAUGUACCGGUGUUGCAACAUAACUGAACCUUGAUAACCGAUCACAUAUUUUAAGUUUUAACAUUGGUAGUUCACGGAUCGGUUUCUACUUCCACGAACAAUUAUUGAAGGAAAUGAGUUUUUUUUUUAAUGAAUAUUUAUAGACCCCGAUUAAAUAUUCGAAUAUAUAAUAAAAGAGAAACUGACAUAGAAAUGAGAAAGAUAUUUGGAGGAGGCAAAAAAAAAAAAAAAAAAAAUGCAACAGAGAAUUAGAUCAGUAACACAAAUAACUAAUUAAUUCAUCUAUACAUCAUAAUCCUAUUUGUAUCUUCUUCCUUCUUCUAAUUUACAUAUAAAUUUGGUUAGAUAAAACAUAUUUUAAUACUCGGUCACAAGCGGUGGAUAUAGAAAAUUAAUUUAGAGGGGGUAAUACCAUAACGAAAAAUAAUGAUUCAUAAUUAAAAUCAACCCCAACAUCAAAACUUAUUUACAAGAUUACGCCCAGUCAAAGGUAAAUUUUCUUAAAAACUAAUAUGAAAUUAAAUAAAUUUAACUUUUAGUGGGUUCAAGUGCCCACGCAUUCUGAACGUAGAUCCACCCCUGGCCCCGACUGAAGCAUUUUUUUACAAUAUGUACUCAGUUUAUCAGCAGGAACAACCUUCCACUUUAAAUUAAAAUUUUCACUUAAAAAUGAUUAAUGUUAAUGAGGUUAGCAACAAAAAUGAGUUUAAUUAGAGAAUAUUAUAAGAGAAAUUAUAUUUUUUGACUUUUAAUAAAUUAAAAUAUAUUAAAAUAUUAUUAGUUGGUGGUGGUUUCACGUCAGAUUAAGACGUGACACUUUACUUAUGAGGUCGAGACAAUCGACUUAAAUUAUUUCAAUGCAUUUAAAAUUUAUACUAAUGGCUAUUAUUCUUUAUCCAAAUUAAUACGAUAAUUAAUAACAUACAAUUGAAAUAAUUAAUAUUAUCACUUGGCAAUAAAUAAAGCUCUUGUGCUUGAAUCGUCACACAUGAUCAUUUCAUUCCUUUAUUUACUUUGCUAACACAGAUUUUGAGGCAUUAAAACUAAAUAAUAAUUGAAUAUGGCUUUGUGCGUCGCUGACGCCAGCAGCAAGGGGACCUCAAUUAUCACUUUUUAAGUUGAUUAUUGCAGUGUUUUUAUUUUUUAUAUUAAAAUUAAGUCGAUUUGUUAUAAUAAACUUAGUUGAGUUUAAUGGUAUUACUACAAAAAUUGAAUAGUCAUUAAAUAUUUUAAUAUUUUUAUCGCAAUCAUUGCUGUAGCAUUUAUUUAUUGUAUGAUGAAUUUUAAAAUUUAUAAAAUUAUUUGUUAUUUAAUUACCCCAGAUGCUACAUCACCUGAAACUUAAUAAAGGGAACGUAGCAUUGCCAUUACUCAACAUUCACUCUUAUGACUUUUUUUUUUUUUUUUGUUUUAUCUACUAGGUAUUCUGGGGAGGGCCCCAACUGUGGGAGGCACCUUUAAGCCCAUACCACAAUUCAGAUUAGAAGUCCCCGCUCGAACCAGGAGGCACAUGUUCUCCCAACAAAGACGACUUCCCUGCGACUCGAACUGUGAAGCAAACCCAGUCAAACCACUUAAAGGGACUCCAUUACCAGUGGAGCCAACACUUUAUUGGUACUCUUAUGACUUUAUGACAUUAGAAUUAAAAUCUUUCGUACAUUUAAUUUGUUUGCUUCCAAAUUAAAUCUUUAAUAAAUAUUUUUUUCACAUUAUCAUGAAUGGACAAAACUCCAACGAAAAUAACUACACAAGAACAAUCUAUGCUAGUAUUAUAUGCCACGAUAUCUAUAACUUUGUCAGGAUCGAUCGGUCUAAUUUUUACGCAGAACUUUUUGUCAAUCGACAAACACCUCACAGAGCUUGUCACCUGUCAGCCGCAUUAUUACGAUGUAAAAUUGCACCGGAAUAUCUUGAAUUAUUAGUAGAAUAACGAAGACUAUUUGGAGCAAUAAAAACAAAUAACGCAGAUGAAAACAAUGGCUGAAAUUAUGUAAGUGAGCCCCAAAGUUUUUGCUAUUUCCUGGAAAUCCCCAAUUUGAAUGGACUAGAGGGAGGCACGUAAGAAAUACAUUUUCUUCCUAGACAAUGACAGCUAUGCAUCAAGCCACGGUGGCGUCAGUAUUGAAAUUAAGGUGUAAUUAUUCAGCCAAUGAGCCUUACACAUCAAGAUAAAAGUCAAGAAAAUGGAAAUUUGGCCGUUUCCAUUUUGAAGUUAAAAACAAAGUUUCUUUCGUUUUGUGGGCGACUCGACUGAUCAGUUGGUGGACACCUCUAUUGAAAAUAUCUCUGACAUUUCACUCGACAAACUUGUUAAUACAAAAAAUCUAUGAUUUUAUCGUCUGUAUACUGUAGAAAAAAAUUGUCUAUACAUCUGUGGUAUAGAUUUUAUGUAUUUCAUUACAAAAUGCUGGCCGUUAGAACUCUAUCUACAUCUAUUUAUAAGAUAUUUCGUUAUAAUUCAUUCUGAAACACUAAAACUAAAUAAUCGAAUAUGGCUUUCCCGAUCGAUGAUGCCAGCAGCAAUGAGACUGCAAUUAUCACUUGUUUAGUUUCUGUGCUUGCCGUGGUUUAUUUCGCAUGGAAUGUGAAAAAAUCAAGGAAAGCAAAUGCUACACUGCCACCAGGACCUCGCGGCUUGCCUGUAUUCGGAUACCUCCCAUUUCUCGGAAAUACUGACUUACACAAGAAGUUCACGGAAUUAUCUGGAGUUUAUGGUCCGAUCUUCAAGCUUUGGCUUGGAAAUAAAUUGUGUGUAGUGGUGAGCUCACCUUCCCUAAUUAGACAAGUGGUUCGUGAUCAAGAUACAACAUUCGCGAACCGUGACCCACCGAUGGCUGCACUAGUGGUCUCCUAUGGUGGCAAUGAUAUUGUACGGUCCAAUUACGGUCCCGAAUGGAGAAAGUUGCGCAAAUUUUUUGUGGGCAAGAUGAUGAGUAACGCAAGCCUUGAUGCUUGUUAUGCUCUAAGAAAACAAGAGGUUAAAAAUACUAUCAGGGAUUUGUACAACAACGACAACAAAAUUGGUAAGCCCAUUGACAUUGGUGAAUUGUCGAUUUCAACCUUGGUAUGUGCUAUGCAGAACAUGCUGUGGGCCUGUGGGGUGAAGCGCUUGAAAUAAGAGAGGAAGGGAUCACUAAUCAUGGGGCUGAGCUAAAAUUUAAGCUGGCAGAACUCAUGGUGCUAGCGGGAACACCGAAUAUUUCAGACAUCUUUCCAAUGCUUUCAUGGCUCGACAUACAAGGUAUAGAGAGGAGAGCAAAGAAGAUUUCACUCUGGUUUGAACAUAUUAUAAAUUCUACUGUUGAAAAGCAUAGAAGCAAGGACUUUAUUGUUGAAGGCAAAGAAAGAGCAGGGAAAAAUUUGGAAGGAUCAAGGAACAAGAACUUCUUGCAGUUACUAUUGGAGCUUCAAGAAAAUGAAGACGGUUCUUCCUCAAUUAGCAUGAACCAAUUUAAGGCCGUACUCGUGGUAUGUUAAGCAACUAGCCGCAAACAGUUAAACAAGCACAGCUGUAUAUUUUGCAUGAGUGAUAUUUUCAACUUUUUUUUUAAUUAGAAUUUUAUUGUAACCUUUUGGACAGGAUAUAAUUACGGGUGGAACCGACACCACAACUACGAUGGUGGAAUGGACAAUGGCAGAGUUGAUACAGCAUCCACAAGUAAUGAAGAAAGUUCAGGAAGAAUUAGCUCAAGUUGUGGGCAUGGACAGUUGUGUUGAAGAAUUUCAUUUGCCUAAACUGAAAUAUUUAGAUGCUGUGGUGAAAGAAUCGUUUCGUCUACAUCCUGCAUUGCCUUUAUUAGUACCACGCAGAGCAAGCGAGAGUGGCAGCAUUGGUGGCUAUACCAUUCCCAAAGAUACAACUCUUAUGUUGAAUGUUUGGGCUAUCCACAGGGACCCUCAACUUUGGGAUAAUCCCUUAGAAUUUCGACCCGAGAGGUUUCUGAAUGUUGGUGUCGAGAGUAAGUUCGAUUACUCAGGUAACAAUUUUCAGUACUUACCAUUUGGUUCUGGUAGAAGGAUGUGUGCUGGGAUUCCUCUAGCUGAGAGGAUGCUGAUGUUUGUUUUGGCUUCGUUAUUGCACUCAUUUGAGUGGGAAUUGCCAGCUGGCACAAAGCUAAACUUAUCUGAAAAAUUUGGGAUUGUUAUUAAGAAAAAAGAGCCUUUGGUUGCUAUUCCAACACCAAGACUAUCCAAUUCAGAGCUUUACCAUUAAGACAGAAUGAUUGUGAUGAUUUUGUUAGUAUCGGAAGAUUUGUAUGUUAUUUCAAGUUCAAACGUAAUAAAAUAUUUUAAUAAAAGUCCUCCGUUGCUAUUUUUUUUUUUCAACGGCAUAAUCUGUCAUCAUGCUUGUGUUUGGAGCUACUUUGGAAUGAUUAUUUUUUAAUUACAAUUUAUAAAUAUUUACAUUUUAAAAUUUUUAUAAGAGUCUAAAUUUAUACAUGUUCAAUAAAAGAUUCCCUAAAAAUUUUACAAUUCAAAAUUCUAUUAAAGUAUAGAUGAAACUUUUAUACCUACUAAUUUUUUGGUCUAUUCUACGAGUUUAAAGAGAAUAUAUUUUUAGAGCUAGCAAAAAGAGGUACUUGAUUGUUUUCGCGUUAUGUCAAUUUUUUUAUUGUGUUAAAUUUAAUUUGACCCACAUAUGACCCAUUUAAUAAUUGUGUCAAAAUAUCAAAAUUUAAACUCGACACGGAAAAUAAAUGGAUGACCAUACACACCCAUUUAAGAAUUAGGUAACUAUGUCACUUAAUACGAUAUAACCCAAUAACUCGUUUAAUACAUAUUUAACUUAAUUUACAUUGUACAUUGUACAACCUUUUAUCAUAAAUUACACUAUUUUAUAUUUCUAAAUAAUAUUAUAUAUUGAUAUUAUAAAAAAAAAUCAAUAAUCUCAAAAUUUGUACACCUCCUAACUUUUGAAAAGAAAUAAUAAAACUAAUUAAUUAAUGUUUAUUUUAUUCAUUAAUAUAUCAUAAUCCUACAUGUAUUUUAUUUGUUAUUUUUUUUUAUUUAAAAAGAUAGGAGGGUGGAUGAAACUCAAAUAAAUUUUUAGCCUAUCCUGAUCUUUCAAGUUUCUUAUUUAGGUGGCCAGCUGAAAAAAAUUACUUGAAAGCUACUCCAUCAAUUUAACAAAUUUUAUUUACUUAAUUAAUGGAGGUGUAGAAAAUAAAAGUAUCUGCAAGUACAUUGCAAUAGUGAAAGCAAUGUACCGGUGUUGGAACAUAACUGAACCCUGGUUACCUAUCACAUAUUUUAAGUUUUAACUUUGGUAGUUCACGGAUCGGUUUCUACUUCCACGAACAAUUAAUGUAGGAAAUGAGUUUUCUUUAUUUUUUAAUGAGUAUUUAUAGACCCCGAUUAAAUAUUGGAAUCUAUCUAUCUAUAUAUAUAUAAAGUUAGGACUUGAGGAGGUGAUGUAGCAUCACCAUUUCUCAUCUUUGUAUAUUCUCUAUUAUCUAAUAAAUAGAGAAAUUUUCUUUUACAUUUAGUUUUUCAUCUUCUCAUAAUUAAUUUGAUUGUCAUUACACAAUAACAAUUAUGUAAAGAUUUUAAUGAGACAUAUUUUUUGUAAUGAACAAGGAGGAGUAUUAUGAAUUUAUUAAAAUAAAUGUAGAUGUUCAUAACAUAUAUCUCUUAGUCUCCUCACUAUCUCUCAUUAGCAACAUUUAGCUUCCCUAUAACUCCCACUAUCUCAUAAGGAAUUAUGAUCCAUAAUUUUUCAUUAAUUUCAUGGAGUGAUUAUGUAACUAUAAAAGAAGAGCUCAUCUUUUUGUUUUGUACACACACAAUUGGAAUGAAUAAAAUCACUCUAUAAUAUAUUCUCUCAUUUUAUUCUUUAUUUUGCGUUGCUUCUUUAUUUGUAUUGCUGGCUAAUAGUUUUUAUUUUUAUUUUUUAUAAGGUUGCCUCAUCUUAAAAAAAAAUCAAUUCAUAUUUUUUAUCAGUUUCAUCAAGUGUAAAGUAAGAAAAAAAUAUAAUACUAAUUUUUUUUUUCAAAUAAAUGUAGAUGUUCAUAACAUAUAUCUCUUAGUCUCCCAACUAUCUCUCAUUAGCAACAUUUAGCUUCCCUAUAACUCCCACUAUCUCAUAAGGAAUUUUGAUCCAUAAUUUUUCAUUAAUUUCAUGGAGUGAUUAUGUAACUAUAAAAUAAGAGCUCAUCUUUUUUGUUUUGUACACACAUAAUUGGAAUAAAUAAAAUCACUCUAUAAUAUAUUCUCUCAUUUUAUUCUUUAUUUGUAUUGCUGGCUAAUAGUUUUUAUUUUUAUUUUUUAUAAGGUUGCCUCAUCUUAAAAAAAAAUCAAUUCAUAUUUUUUAUCAGUUUCAUCAAGUGUAAAGUAAGAAAAAAAUAUAAUACUAAUUUUUUUUUUCAAAUAAAUGUAGAUGUUCAUAACAUAUAUCUCUUAGUCUCCCCACUAUCUCUCAUUAGCAACAUUUAGCUUCCCUAUAACUCCCACUAUCUCAUAAGGAAUUUUGAUCCAUAAUUUUUCAUUAAUUUCAUGGAGUGAUUAUGUAACUAUAAAAUAAGAGCUCAUCUUUUUUGUUUUGUACACACAUAAUUGGAAUAAAUAAAAUCACUCUAUAAUAUAUUCUCUUAUUUUAUUCUUUAUUUUGCGUUGCUUCUUUAUUUGUAUUGCUGGCUAAUAGUUUUUUUUUUUUUUUUUUAUAAGGUUGCCUCAUCUUAAAAAAAAAUCAAUUCAUAUUUUUUAUCAGUUUCAUCAAGUGUAAAGUAAGAAAAAAAUAUAAUACUAAAUUUUUUUUUCAAAGCCGCGUGAAGCGCGGUUCUAUUUUCUAGUAUAUAAUAAAAGAGAAACUGACAUAGAAAUGAGAAAGAUAUUUGGAGGAGGCAAAAAAAAAAAAAAAAAAUGCAACAGAGAAUUAGAUCAGCAACACAAGUAACUAAUUCAUCUAUACAUCAUAAUCCUAUUUGUAUCUUCUUCCUUCUUCUAAUUUACAUAUAAAUUUGGUUAGAUAAAACAUAUUUUAAUACUUGGUCACAAGUGGUGGAUAUAGAAAAGGGUAAUUUUCAGUUUCAUCACCUGAGGUUUGGGGUCCCUUCAGUUAGAUAGAUUCUAUGAGGGUAUCUCCACUUUGCACUCCUACCGUUCGUAUAAUGUUUAGUAUAAGUUUAGUUUACGAGAAUAAAUAAGUAAUUGCAUGAUAAAUUAUUAAAUAUUAAGAUAAUUUUGAAUUUUUACACUCUGCAAACUGGAACCUGUUGAAACAUUGUGGUGCUCGCUAGCCAAUAAUCAAAAAUCAAACGACACCCAUUUUGAAGAAACCCUAAGACAAAAUCAAACGACACCCAUUUCAAGCUUAUUAACUAGAGAGAUUUCGAAGAAACCCUAAGUCAAAAUCAAACGACACCCAUUUCUCAUUCCACUCUCCUCGAACUCGAAUCCCUCUUACAAUCGAUUGAUCCAGACACCCUUUACCGAUUCACCGAUCAACUCUCCUCCAAAAAAACUCUCUUUAUCCUCUCUCAUUCCUCCAAUUUCUUGCGCCAUGGAUGCGGGCCCCACCAAUAUCUCCCUCUUGGCCUCCAAAAUUUACCUUGCAUUGCUUCUCUCCCCGAACUCCCCUGUCUUCACUUUGUUCACUCCCAUGGCGUUCCUCUCCCUUCGCCGCUCCCUCAAGAGUUUUAAGCGCGUGUCUGAUAGCGGGUCCCACUCUAGUGUUAACCACAAAAGAAAAGGUGGUGGCAGGCGGGUUCAGCGGGCGAAUGAAUUUAACGAGGAUGAGAGCGAGGGUGGAUUUGAUGCUAGGAGUUUGUGUUUGGUUGUUGAGAAGUUGGAAUUUGUUGUGGGGUUGGUUUAUUUGAAUAGAUUUCUAGAUUGUUUGAAGUCUUUGAUACAGACUGUUGUUGAGAUUCUGGUCUCUUUGCUUGAAUUGGGAGGUUAUGAGAAAUUGAAUGUUUGUUUUCAGGGAUUUUGAUUAAGUUGUUGAGGGGGGAGCAUGGUGAUGUGAUGAGUACAACUGCAUAGGUUUUGAAGUCAUUAGUGCCAUUGAUUUUGAUGGGCAAAUGUCAAGCGAGGAGUUUUGCAUUAGGAUUUUUGAUGAAUGGAGUGAUGGGUGUGGCUAAAGAGAUCGACGGGGUCAAGAAGGCAGUUGUGAAUUUGCCGAAGUACUUGGUGAACAAGGCCCUGGAGAAGGCCGAGCUGAGGGGAUUAGCUGUGGAGGCAAUUAUGGAGAUUGUUAAAGCAAUGGAGGUUGAGGAUCAAAUGGGGUUUGUUGAAUAUACUGUUAAAGCUGACUAAAGGGAAGGCUAAUCUUAGCCUAGUUGCAGUUGAUCUGAUAUUAAUGCUAAUGACGUCGAUGAGAGAUCCAUUGAAUCUCUCGUUUACGACAUUCAGUUUAGUUAAUAAGCUUGAAAAAAAAAAAAAAGGGGCUCCAGUUGGUUAUUAAAAUAGUUUUAUUGAUGCAAGGGUGUUUUAGUCAUUUAAUCAGUCAAUUAACAGUCAAAUAAAUGUUAUCCUAACGGUAGGGGUGUAAAGUGGAGAUACACUCAUACAAUCUAUCAAAGUGAAAGGACCCCAAAUCUCAGGGGAGGAAACCGAAAAUUACCCAUAUAGAAAAUUAAUUUAGAGGGGGUAAUACCGUAACGAAAAAUAAUGAUUCAUAAUUAAAAUCAACCCCAACAUCAAAACUUAUUUACAAGAUCACCCCCAGUCAAAGGUAAUUUUUCCUAAAAACUAAUACGAAAUUAAAUAAAUUUAACUUUUAGUGGGUUCAAUUGCCCACGCAUUCUGAACGUAGAUCCACCCCUGGCCCCGACUGAAGCAUUUUUUACAAUAUGUACUCUGUUUAUCAGCAGGAACAACCUUCCACUUUAAAUUAAAAUUUUCACUUAAAAAUGAUUAAGGUUAAUGAGGUUAGUAACAAAAAUGAGUUUAAUUAGAGAAUAUUAUAAGAGAAAUUCUAUUUUUUGACUUUUAAUAAAUUAAAAUAUAUUAAAAUAUUAUUAAUUGGUGGUGGUUUCACAUCAAAUUAAGACAUGACACCUAAUUUAUGAGGUGGAGACAAUCGGCUUAAACUAUUUUAAUGCAUUUAAAAUUUGUACUAAUGACUAUCAUUCUUUGUCCUAAUUAAUACGAUAAUUAAUAACAUACAAUUGAAAUAAUUAAUAUUAGCACUUGGCAAUAAAUAAAGCUCUUGUGCUUGAAUCGGCGCACAUGAUCAUUUCAUUCCUUUAUUUACUUUGCUACCACAGAUUUUGAGGCAUUAAAACUAAAUAAUAAUUGAAUAUGGCUUUGUGCGUCGAUGACGCCAGCAACAAGGGGACCGCAAUUAUCACUUUUUAAGUUGCUACUAAAAUUGAUUUUAGUAGUGAUAUGAUUAUUGCAGUGUUUUUAUUUUUUAUAAUAAAAUUAAGUCGAUUUGUUAUAAUAAACUUAGUUGAGUUUAAUGGUAUUAUUACAGAAAUUAAAGUCAUUAAAUAUUUUAAUAUUUUUAUCGUAAGCAUUGACAUGGUAUUUAUUUAUUUAUUGUAUGAUGGAUUUUAAAAUUUAUAAAAUUAUUUGUUAUUAAAUUACCCCCAGAUGCUACAUCACCUGAAACUUAAUAAAGGGAACGUAGCAUUGCCAUUACUCAACAUUCACUCUUAUGACUUUAUGACAUUAGAAUUAAAAUCUUUCGUACAUUUAAUUUGUUUGCUUCCAAAUUAAUCUUUAAUAAAUAUUUUUUUCACAUUAUCAUCAAUGGAAAAAACUCCAACGAAAAUAACUACACAAGAACAAUCUAUGCUAGUAUUAUAUGCCACGAUAUCUAUAACUUUGUCAGGAUCGAUCAUUCUAAUUUUUACGCAGAACUUUUUGUCAAUCGACAAACACCUCACAGAGCUUGUCACUUGUCAGCCGCAUUAUUACGAUGUAAAAUUGUACCGGAAUAUCUUGAAUUAUUAGUAGAAUAACGAAGACUAUUUGGAGCAAUAAAAGAAUCCAGCUGUGGUGCCACAAUUAUAUGGUACCACAGCUGGAUCUAACCAUUAAAUUUAGCUCUGGUGACAAUUGUGGGUUAGAUCCAAUGGUUGGAUCCAUCUGUGGUACCAUACAACAGUGGUACCACAGAUUUGUCCGCAAUAAAAACAAAUAACGCAGAUGAAAACAAUGGCUAAAAUUAUGUAAGUGAGCCCCAAAGUUUUUGCUAUUUCCAGGAAAUCCCAAAUUUGAUUGGACUAGAGGGAGGCAGGUAAGAAAUACAUUUUCUUCCUAGACAAUGACAGCUAUGACAUCAAGCCACUGCUAUUAUUAAUUAUCCCCUGGUCAUUACAGUUUGUUAAUAUUCAUUCUGAAACAGUAAAACAAAAACGAAAUUGAAUACAUCAACGAGACCGCAAUUAUCACUUGUUUAGUUGCGGUAUUUAACUUAAUUUUAAUCUAAUAUAUUUGUUAGUUAAACUUUUAAUAAUCAAAUAAUUUUGAUUUAAAAAUAAAGUUAUAGAAAUUAAUAAUUAUUAAAAAUUCACAAUUAAGGGAACGUUCAUCAAACACACAUAGCUAUUGUUUUCUCUAUAUAUUGCAGUGUGUACGAUAUUGAGGGUUGAAGUCCCAAGCAUGCUCUAAAAUCCAGAUAAUAUUUAGAUCCAAGCAAACUAGAGUAGUGAUUUAAUGAAAAUCAUAUGUAUUGAAAAAAAAUGAAAAGAGGUCAUAAACUAGAACAAAAAUAUAAUCAUAUUCAAGUAAACUUAAUAGAUAAACCCUAAGUUCGUGCACGAGAGUUGAACUCUAUGAAUUUUACUCAAUAAUUUGAUGCAUACAAAAUAUAUACGAGUUUAUGAGUGACGUAUAAGUACUAAAAGAGUUAAGUAAUAAGUAAAUAAAAUAAACCAAGUGGCAUGACAUUGAUUCAAUAUUAUUGUAUCAAUAUUUAUGAAAGAAAUUGUAUUAAAAUUAAAUUGUAUGUUGAGUAUUGAUCUUGUCGUCUCAUUAUGUUUAGAUAUCUUAAUAUUAAAUCGAUAUAUGUUGUAUCGUUGGUUGAUUAAAUGUCAUAUCAUUUAAAGUAUAUCCUUAACUAACUGAAUUAAUAGCAUAAAUAAUUUAUUUCAAGAAGUCUUUGACCAGGUAAUGUAAAUGAGAUUUGCAGCUUUGAGAAGAAACAUAAUAUUUCAAACGUAGAAUAUUAAAACGUAACUAUCAUAUUAUCAUUCUUGUUUUUUAAAUCUGAAUAAUUGAGAAUGCAAUUUUAGAAGUCAACUUUAAUGAGAUCGCAUACCAAUUCCAAUAUUUAAUCAAAUCUUGACCGUCCCUCAAUCAAUCAACGGUGCGAAACAAUUAGUGAAUCCACAUAUGAGCCAUGAUUAGUUGGUGGUGAUGAAGGCUGUUAUUGGCGGAGCUCAAAGUUAUUAUGUGCAUGUUGGGUGGAUAUCUCUAUUGAAAAUAUCUCUGAUAUUUCACUCGACAAACUUGUUAAUAUAAAAAAUCUAUGGUUUUGCCGUCUGUAAACUGUAGAAAAAAUUGACUCUACGUUAAUCUAAAUGUUUGAGGUGAUUAGAAAUUACCGACUAUAAAGGGGAAUAAUUUAUAGGUUGAUUGAUACAUCUCUAUUGAAAAUAUCUCUGACAUUUCACUCGACAAACUCAUUAAUAUAAAAAAUCUAUGGUUUUGCCAUCUGUAUACUGUAGAAAAAUUUGUCUAUACAUUAAUCUAGAUGUUGGAGGUGGUUAAUAUUUUAUGUAUUUCAUUAUCAAAUGCUGGCCGUUGGGACCCUAUCUACAUCUAUUAAUAAGAUUAACAGGUGCCAGACUAGGCCAUUACAAAUUAUCCCCUCAUCAGAUAUUUCGUUAAAAUUCAUUCUGAAACACUAAAACUAAAUAAUUGAAUAUGGCUUUGCGGGUCGAUGAUGCCAGCAGCAAUGAGACUGCAAUUAUCACUUGUUUAGUUUCUGUGCUUGCCGUGGUUUACUUCGCAUGGAAUGUGAAAAAAUCAAGGAAAGCAAAUGCUAAACUUCCACCAGGACCUCGCGGCUUGCCUGUAGUCGGAUACCUCCCAUUUCUCGGAACUACUGACUUGCACAAGAAAUUCACGGAAUUAUCCGGAGUUUAUGGUCCGAUCUUCAAGCUCUGGCUCGGAAACAAAUUAUGUGUCGUGGCGAGCUCACCUUCCCUAGUUAAACAAGUGGUUCGAGAUCAAGAUACAACAUUCGCCAACCGUGACCCGCCGAUCGCUGUACUAGCGUUCACCUAUGGUGGCAAUGAUAUUGCAUGGUCCAAUUACGGUCCCGAAUGGAGAAAUUUGCGCAAAGCUUUUGUGGGCAAGAUGAUGAGUAACGCAAGCCUUGAUGCUUGUUAUGCUCUAAGAAAACAAGAGGUUAAAAAUACUAUCAGGGAUUUGUACAACAACGACAACAAAAUUGGUAAGCCCAUCGACAUUGGUGAAUUGUCAAUUUCAACCUUGGUAUGUGUUAUUCAGAACAUGCUGUGGGGUGAAGCGCUUGAAACAAGAGAGGAAGGGAUCACUAAUCUUGGGGCUGAGCUAAAAUUUAAGCUGGCAGAACUCAUGGUCCUAAUGGGAACACCGAAUAUUUCGGACGUCUUUCCAGUGCUUUCAUGGUUUGAUAUACAAGGUAUAGAGAGGAAAGCAAAGAAGAUUUCACUCUGGUUUGAAAAUAUUAUAAAUUCUACUGUUGAAAAGUAUAGAAGCAAGGACUUUAUUGUUGAAGGUAAAGAAAGAGCAGGGGAAAAUUUUGAAGGAUCAAGGAACAAGAACUUCUUGCAGUUACUAUUGGAGCUUCAAGAAAAUGAAGACGGUUCUUCCUCAAUUAGCAUGAACCAAUUUAAGGGCGUGCUCGCGGUAUGUUAAGCAACUAGCCACGAACAGUUAUACAAGCACAGUUGUAUAUUUGCAUGAGUGACGCUUCUCAACUUUUUUUAAUUUUUUAAAUUAAAGUUUUAUUGUAAUCUUUUGAACAGGAUAUAAUUACGGGUGGAACCGACACCACAACUACGAUGGUGGAAUGGACAAUGGCAGAGUUGAUGCAGCAUCCACAAGUAAUGAAGAAAGUUCAGGAAGAAUUAGCUCAAGUUGUGGGCAUGGACAGUUGUGUUGAAGAAUUUCAUUUGCCUAAACUGAAAUAUUUAGAUGCUGUGGUGAAAGAAUCGUUUCGUCUGCAUCCUGCAGUGCCUUUAUUAGUACCACGCAGAGCAAGCGAGAGUGGCAGCAUUGGUGGCUAUACCAUUCCCAAAGAUACAACUCUUAUGUUGAAUGUUUGGGCUAUCCACAGGGACCCUCAACUUUGGGAUAAUCCCUUAGAAUUUCGACCCGAGAGGUUUCUGAAUGUUGGUGUCGAGAGUAAGUUCGAUUACUCAGGUAACAAUUUUCAGUACUUACCUUUUGGUUCUGGUAGAAGAAUGUGUGCUGGGAUUCCUCUAGCUGAGAGGAUGCUGAUGUUUGUUUUGGCUUCGUUAUUGCACUCAUUUGAGUGGGAAUUGCCAGCUGGCACAAAGCUAAAUUUAUCUGAAAAAUUUGGGUUUGUCAUUAAGAAAAAAGAGCCUUUGGUUGCUAUUCCAACACCAAGACUAUCCAAUUCAGAGCUUUACCAUUAAAACAGAAUGAUUGUGAUGAUUUUGUUAGUAUCGGAAGAUUUGUAUGUUAUUUCAAGUUCAAUCGUAAUAAAAUAUUUUAAUAAAAGUCCUCCGUUGCUAAUUUUUUUUUUCAACGGCAUAAUCUGUCAUCAUGCUUGUGUUUGGAGCUACUUUGGAAUGAUUAUUUUUGAAUUACAAUUUAUAAAUAUUUAGGUUUUAAAUUUUUUAUAAGAGUCUAAAUUUAUACACGUUCAGUAAAAGAUUCCCUAAAAGCUUUACAAUUCAAAAUUCUAUUAAAAGUAUAGAUGAAACUUUUAUACCUACUAAUUUUUUGGUCUAUUCUACAAGUUUAAAGAGGAGAUAUUUCUAGAGCUAGCAAAAAGAGCUACCUGAUUGUUUUCGCGUUAUGUCAAUUUUUUUAUUGUGUUAAAUUUAAUUUGACCCACAUAUGACCCAUUUAAUAAUCGUGUCAAAAUAUUGAAACUUGAACUUGAUACGGAAAAUAAAUGGAUGACCACACACACCCAUUUAAGAAUUAGGUAACUAUGUCACUUAAUACGACAUAACCCAAUAACUCGUUUAAUACAUAUUUAACAUAAUUUACAUUGUACAUUGUACACCCUUUUGUCAUAAAUUACACUAUUUUAUAUUUCUAAAUAAUAUUAUAUAUUGAUAUUAUAAAAAAAUAUCAAUAAUCUCAAAAUUUGUACACCUCCUAACUUUUAAAAAGAAAUAAAAAAACUAAUUAAUUAAUGUUUAUUUUAUUCAUUAAUAUAUCAUAAUCCUACAUGUAUUUUAUUUGUUAUUUUUUUUAUUUAAAAAGAUAGGAGGGUGGAUGAAACUCAAAUAAAUUUUUAGCCUAUCCUGAUCUUUCAAGUUUCUUAUUUAGGAGGCCAGUUAAAAAAAAUUACUUAGAAAGCUACUCCAUCAAUUUAACAAAUUUUAUUUAUUUAAUUAAUGGAGGUGUAGAAAAUAAAAGUAUCUGCAAGCACAUUGCAAUAGUGAAAGCAAUGUACCGGUGUUGCAACAUAACUGAAUCUUGAUAACCUAUCACAUAUUUUAAGUUUUAAUAUUGGUAGUUCACGGAUCGGUUUCUACUUCCACGAACAAUUAUUGAAGGAAAUGAGUUUUUUUUUUAAUGAAUAUUUAUAGACCCCGAUUAAAUAUUCGAAUAUAUAAUAAAAGAGAAACUGACAUAGAAAUGAGAAAGAUAUUUGGAGGAGGCCAAAAAAAAAAAAAAAAAUGCAACAGAGAAUUAGAUCAGCAACACAAGUAACUAAUUAAUUCAUCUAUACAUCAUAAUCCUAUUUGUAUCUUCUUCCUUCUACUAAUUUACAUAUAAAUUUGGUUAGAUAAAACAUAUUUUAAUACUCGGUCACAAGCGGUGGAUAUAGAAAAUUAAUUUAGAGGGGGUAAUACCAUAACGAAAAAUAAUGAUUCAUAACUAAAAUCAACCCCAACAUCAAAACUUAUUUACAAGAUUACGCCCAGUCAAAGGUAAUUUUUCCUAAAAACUAAUACGAAAUUAAAUAAAUUUAACUUUUAGUGGGUUCAAGUGCCCACGCAUUCUGAACGUAGAUCCACCCCUGGCCCCGACUGAAGCAUUUUUUACAAUAUGUACUCAGUUUAUCAACAGGAACAACCUUCCACUUUAAAUUAAAAUUUUCACUUAAAAAUGAUUAAUGUUAAUGAGGUUAGCAACAAAAAUGAGUUUAAUUAGAGAAUAUUAUAAGAGAAAUUAUAUUUUUUGACUUUUAAUAAAUUAAAAUAUUAUUAGUUGGUGGUGGUUUCACGUCAGAUUAAGACGUGACACUUUACUUAUGAGGUCGAGACAAUCGACUUAAACUAUUUCAAUGCAUUUGAAAUUUGCACUAAUGGCUAUCAUUCUUUGUCCAAAUUAAUACGAUAAUUAAUAACAUACAAUUGAAAUAAUUAAUACUAGCACUUGGCAAUAAAUAAAGCUCUUGUGCUUGAAUCGUCACACAUGAUCACUUCAUUCCUUUAUUUACUUUGCUACCACAAAUUUUGAGGCAUUAUAACUAAAUAAUAAUUGAAUAGGGCUUUGUGUUACUUGUUGUGCGCGCGGAAUGCGGAAUCAAGCACACCAAAUUAUUACAGAAAAAUAAAGGACACAAUUAUUUGACGUGGUUCGGUAAUUAAACUUACAUCCACGGAGGCAAGAAAGAAUAAUUGUUUAUUUAACAAUUAAUAGAGUACAAAUAUUUGAGUAACGAAUCUCACUUCUCAGAAACCUAAAUAUACCCAAUACUCUCACACUCUGCAGGAAAGAUAAAUUAUCCAAACACACUUCUCUCACUUCUCUAAAAAACUUAAAAAUUUAAAAACUUAACAAUUUUGGAAUGCUUUAGAAUAGAAGAAGUGCCAUCUUAUAGGAAAAAUAAUGAUACUAUUGCACCAACCUCUUUACUAUUCCACCUAACAUAAGCAAAUUGUCAAUAGUGUCCAUUUAACUUUUUAUUUUUUUUCUUCAAUUGUUUAGUAGCCCUUUAAAAAUCUGCGUGGUUUCUUGAAAUUUAGAUGCCACAUGCAUGACUUUUCAACACUAAUUACUACGAUAAUUAAUAUUAGCACUUGGCAAUAAAUAAAGCUCUUGUGCUUGAAUCGUCACACACGAUCACUUCAUUCCUUUAUUUGCUUUGCUACCACAGAUUUUGAGGCAUUAAAACUAAAUAAUAAUUGAAUAUGGCUUUGUGCGUCGAUGACGCCAGCAACAAGGGGACCACAAUUAUCACUUUUUAAGUUGCUUUUAAAAUUGAUUUUAAUAGUGAUUUGAUUAUUGUAGUGUUUUUAUUUUUAUAUUAAAAUUAAGUCGAUUUGUUAUAAUAAACUUAGUUGAGUUUAAUGGUAUUACUACAUAAAUUGAAUAGUCAUCAAAUAUUUUAAUGUUUUUAUGGCAAGUGUUGACGUGGCAUUUAUUUGUUGUAUGAUGGAUUUUAAAAUUUAUAAAAUUAUUUGUUAUUAAAUUACCCCCAGAUGCUGCAUCACCUGAAACUUAAUAAAGGGCAUGUAGCAUUGCCAUUACUCAACAUUCACUCUUAUGACUUUAUGACAUUAGAAUUAAAAUCUUUCGUACAUUUAAUUUGUUUGCUUCCAGAUUAAUCUUUAAAAAUAUUUUUUUCACAUUAUCAUGAAUGGACAAAACUCCAACGAAAAUAACUACGCAAGAGCAAUCUAUGCUAGUAUUAUAUGCCACGAUAUCUAUAACUUUGUCAGGUCUCAGGAUCGAUCAUUCUAAUUUUUACGCAGAACUUUUAAUCAAUGGACAAACACCUCACCGAGCUUGUCGGCAGCAUUACUACGAUGUAAAAUUGUACCGGAAUAUCUUGAAGUAUUAGUAGAAUAAUGAAGACUAUUUGGAGCAAUAAAAACAAAUAACGCAGAUAAAAAAAAUGGCUAAAAUUAUGUAAGUGAGCCCCAAAGUUUUUGCUAUUUCCAGGAAAUCCCAAAUUUGAAUGGACUAGAGGGAGGCACGUAAGAAAUACAUUUUCUUCCUAGACAAUGACAGCUAUGACAUCAAGCCACGUAUUGAAAUUAAGGUGUAAUUAUUCAGCCAAUGAGCCUUACACACCAAGAUGUAUAAAAGUCAAGAAAAUGAAAUUUUAUCCCAAUUAAAACACUUUCUGGCUGCAAUUGGCUGUUUCCAUUUGAAGUUAAAAAACAACAACGUUUCUUUCGUUUUGUGGGCGAUUCGAUUGAGCACGCGCCACGAGCUAGCUGGCUUCCAGUGCUUGCGUGUGACAAUAGAAGGCUAGUGAUUUCACUUUCGCUUUUUUUUUUUUUUCUUUUUUUUGGGGAAUCAAGAUAAAAGCCAAGAAAAUGAAAAUUGGGCUGUUUCCAUUUGAAGUUAAAAACAGUGUUUCUUUCGGGGCGUCAAUUUGAUAUUUGAAUGGACAGGCAAGUAAGAAAUACAAUUCCUUCAUAGACAAUGACAACGAGGACAUCAAGGCACAUCAUUAUAGUUUGUAGCCCAUCUACAUUUAAACGAUUAAUAAACAAGCUUAGGUGUGCCACUGCUAUUAUUAAUUAUCCCCUGAUCAUUAUAGUUUCUGAAACAGUAAAACAAAACGAAAUUGAAUACAUCAACGAGAUCGCAAUUAUCACUUGUUUAGUUGCGGUAUUUAACUUAAUUUUAAUCUAAUAUAUUUGUUAGUUAAACUUUUAAUAAUCAAAUAAUUUUGACUUAAAAAUAAAAUUAUAGAAAUUAUUAAUUAUUAAAAAUUCACACAUAGCUAUUGUUUUCUCUAUAUAUUGCAGUGUGUACGAUAUUGAGGGUUGAAGCCCAAAGCAUGCCCUAAAAUCCAGAUAAUAAUUAGAUCCGGGCCAAAUAUUCAUCAUUGUGUCGGCUGAUCAGUCGGUGGACAUCUCUAUUGAAAAAAUCUCUGACAUUUCUCUCGACAAACUUAUUACUAAAAAAAAAUCAGUGGUUUUGCCGUCUGAAUAAUGUAGAAAAAUUUGUCUGUGCAUUAAUCUAGAUGUUUGAGGUGAUUUAUACAUCUGUGAUAAAGAUUUAUAGGUUGACUUAUACGUCUGUGGUAUAGAUUUUAUGUAUUUCAUUACAAAAUGCUGGCCGUUAGAACCCUUUCUACAUCUAUUUAUAAGAUUAACGGGUGCCAGUUAUGCCAUUACAAAUUAUCCCCUCAUCAGAUAUUUCGUUAAAAUUCAUUCUGAAACACUAAAACUAAAUAAUCGAACAUGGCUUUGCGGGUCGAUGAUGCCAGAAGCAAUUCGACUGCAAUUAUCACUUGUUUAGUUUCUGUGCUUGCCGUGGUUUACUUGGCAUGGAAUGUGAAAAAAUCAAGGAAAGCAAAUGCUAAACUGCCACCAGGACCUCCCGGCUUGCCUGUAGUCGGAUACCUCCCAUUUCUCGGAACUACUGACUUGCACAAGAAAUUCACGGAAUUAUCCGGAGUUUACGGUCCGAUCUUCAAGCUCUGGCUCGGAAAUAAAUUAUGUGUAGUGGUGAGCUCACCUUCCCUAAUUAGACAAGUGGUUCGUGAUCAAGAUACAACAUUCGCGAACCGUGACCCACCGAAGGCUGCACUAGUGGUCUCCUAUGGUGGCAAUGAUAUUGCAUGGUCCAAUUACGGUCCCGAAUGGAGAAAGUUGCGCAAAUUUUUUGUGGGCAAGAUGAUGAGUAACGCAAGCCUUGAUGCUUGUUAUGCUCUAAGAAAACAAGAGGUUAAAAAUACUAUCAGGGAUUUGUAUAACAACGACAACAAAAUUGGCAAGCCCAUUGACAUUGGUGAAUUGUCGUUUUCAACAUUGGUAUGUGCUAUACAGAACAUGCUGUGGGGUGAAGCGCUUGAAAUAAGAGAGAAAGGGACCACUAAUCUUGGGGCUGGGCUAAAAUUUAAGCUGGCAGAACUCAUGGUGCUUGCGGGAACACCGAAUAUUUCGGAUGUCUUUCCAAUGCUUUCAUGGCUUGACAUACAAGGUAUAGAGAGGAGAGCAAAGAAGAUUUCACUCUGGCUUGAAAAUGUUAUAAAUUCUACUGUUGAACAGCAUAGAAACAAGGAGUCAACUGUUGAAGGUGAAGAAAGAGCGGGGAAAAAUUUUGAAGGAUCAAGGAACAAGAACUUCUUGCAGUUACUAUUGGAGCUUCAAGAAAAUGAUGACAGUGCUUCCUCAAUUAGCAUGAACCAAUUCAAGGCCGUACUCAUGGUAUGUUAAGUAACUAGCAACGAACAGUUAUACAAGCACAGUUGUAUAUUUGCAUGAGUGAUAUUUUCAACCUUUUUUUUUAAUUAGAAUUUUAUUGUCACCUUUUGGACAGGAUAUAAUUACGGCUGGAACCGACACCACAGCUACGAUGGUGGAAUGGACAAUGGCAGAGUUGAUGCAGCAUCCACAAGUAAUGAAGAACGUUCAGGAAGAAUUAGCUCAAGUUGUGGGCAUGGACAGUUGUGUUGAAGAAUUUCACCUGUCUAGAUUAAAGUAUUUAGAUGCUGUGGUGAAGGAAACAUUUCGUCUGCAUCCUGCAGUGCCUUUAUUAGUACCACGCAGAGCAAGCGAGAGUGGCAGCAUUGGUGGCUAUACCAUUCCCAAAGAUACAACUCUUAUGUUGAAUGUUUGGGCUAUCCACAGGGACCCUCACCUUUGGGAUAAUCCCUUAGAAUUUCGACCCGAGAGGUUUCUGAAUGUUGGUGUCGAGAGUAAGUUCGAUUACUCAGGUAACAAUUUUCAGUACUUGCCAUUUGGUUCUGGUAGAAGAAUGUGUGCUGGGAUUCCUCUAGCUGAGAGGAUGCUGAUGUUUGUUUUGGCUUCGUUAUUGCACUCAUUUGAGUGGGAAUUGCCAGCUGGCACAAAGCUAAACUUAUCUGAAAAAUUUGGGAUUGUCAUUAAGAAAAAAGAGCCUUUGGUUGCUAUUCCAACACCAAGACUAUCCAAUUCAGAGCUCUACCAUUAAGACAAAAUGGUUGUGAUGAUUUUGUUAAUUUUCCGAAGAUUUGUAUGUUAUUUAGUUCAAUCGUAAUAAAAUAUUUCAAAUAAGAGUCCUCCGUUGCUUUUUUUUUUUUUUUUUUUUCAACGGCAUAAUCUGUCGUCAUGCUUGUAUUUGGAGCUACUUUGGAAUAAUUAUGUUUGAAUUACAAUUUAUAAAUAUUUACGUUUUAAAUUUUUUAUAAGAGUCUAAAUUUAUACACGUUUAAUAUCCCGCUUCAUAGAUAUUUAACACAAUUUAUAUCAUACAUUGUAUACCCAUUUGUCAUAAAUUAUACUAUUUUGUAUCUCUAAAUAAUAUUACGUAUUGAUAUUAUAAUAUAUAUAUAUAUGUUUAUCAAAAGACUAUACCAUUCAAUAUAUAUUGAAAAGAGAACAAAGAAGAUUUUCUUAUGGUUUAAAAAUAUUAUGAAUUCUGCUGUUGAACAGUAUGGAAACAAGGUCUCUGUUGUUAAAGGUGAAGAAGCAACAGGGAACAAUAUUGAAGGAAGAAAUUUCACAUGUUUAGUUGCUGAAUUUGCCGCUGUAUUCUAUCGGUAGUAGAGUUUUUAUUUUUCUCUAUUAAUUUAAGUCAAUUUUCUAUAACAAAUUCGGUUGAGUUUAAUUGUGUUAUAAUAUAAAUUGAAUGAUAAUAGAAUUUUCAACAAAUAUUUCAAUAUUUCUAUCUCGAUUGUUGAAGUGCCAUUUAUUUGUUAUGCGAUCGAUUUUAAAAUUUAUAAAAUUAUUUGUUACUAAAUUGCAUCAUAUGCUAAAAUCACCUGAAACCUAAUUCCAUAACUAACCCUUUAUUUUUAGUUCUCAAGAAAUCUUGUAAGAACAAAAAUCUUUUAUAACAAAACUUUUACAACACAUUAAUUUGUAACUCAUUCCUGUGCGCGAAUCACUCUCAAUUUCCUUCAAUUGCUGUUUAACAAUCAUCUACUUAUCAAAAUUCAAGCAUAAUCUUUUUUUUUUAAUUUCUUCAUCAUUCUUUAAAAAAAAAAUCAGGAUAUGCUGUUAAAUUUUGAAAUAAAUAAAUUAACCAAAGUUGGUUGAUGUGAGUGGUUCAAUGAUGAGCAUAAUUUAUAUACAUAUUUUACCUUUAAUUAUAUAAUUAUUAGUUAUUUUUAUUAGUUAUUUUUAAUUAAUUGAAUUAUUUUAUUGCAUAGAGAAUUAAUUGGAGAUUGGGAAACAAAAAGUGCAUAAAGAAUAACAAGUUUGGGAAAGCAUCAAUCAAAGCCGUGACGCAAUUAAGAGUUUAUAGCAUAUGAAGCCAAGAGUAAUUUGCACUCAAAAAGAAUUUCAAUUAUUCAAGUGACCUGGACCUGCAUGGCAUUGUAAUGCAUGGAAAGCAACUUAAAGGGGCCCACACUUGGCUUUUACAAUUGGAAAAAGGAAUCCUAGUGCAAGCUUAAUUGAUGAGCACGUGAGUGAGAGCAAAGAAAAUUAAAAGGCCAAGCCUUUUGGCUUAAGGAAAUAACAAGGUCGGUGGGGCCCAUUUUAAAGAGUAAUAUAAAAGCAAGCUUUUGGCUUUUGGAGAGAGGAGCCGCGAGAGGAGGAAAACGCAAGACAAAGAGAAGAAAAUCUGCAGCAGUUCGGCUUCUAUGGUUGGUUUUAUCUCUUUUGUUACUCUUAAUUCAAAUAUGUCUAGUUAAUUUUCUUAUAUUAAAGUUAAGGAUGAAACCCUAUUCAAUGAAAUAAUUAUCUUUUUAUUUAUUUAAUUCCCAUAUAUGUUCUUUAAUGAUUAUGAUUUUUAUUUCACAUGAUUAAUUGGAUGUUAUUAAAAUUUUUUCAUCAAUUCUGUCAUGCAUUAUUGAUUGUUAGGAUUAAUAUUCAAUUAAAUCUAUACUUAGAUUUAUAACGUUUAUACAUGAUUAUCUUUGAUUCUAUGUCUUUCAUUAAAUUGUUUACAUGGAGUGCUUAGGAAAACUUUGACUCUUUGUUAUUCAAUAUGUUCACAUGGGAUACUUAGAUGUCAUACUAUUAAGCGGAAAAAGAACCUAUAUUAGAUUUAAUUAUUUGGGCUUAAUUGUUAUAUCCAUGAGAUGACACAAAUUGAUUUCGAGUUGUCACUCUAAAAUUAGAGAUUAAUGAAUAUUUAGAUAAUUACUAGUUGAAUAGCGGUGGAUUCUGAAACCUUGGUAAUUUCUAUCUUAUUGAAUUCUCCUUUACUUUAAUUGUUUUCUUAGUUUAAUUAAUUUAAUUUCUUUUAAAACUCAAUUUGCUUAACUAGGUUAGAAUUAAUAUUAAUUUUAGAUUUAAAUUAGACUUUUCAAUUUAUAACAAUCCAUGUGGGAUCGACCUCGUUACCACUACUUUAUUUCUAGAUUCGUGCACUUGCGAGUAUAUUAAAAUUUUCACAACAAGUUUUUGGCGCCGUUGCCGGGGAUUGUGCCAGAAAGUCAGUUUAAUCUAGGUUGAUUUGAUUCUUCCACUAGUUAUAAUUUAUGUUGUCUUUUAUUUUAUUAUUAUUUUUAAUUAACAAAAACACACAAAAAAACUUUUAUUUUUCUUUAAAUUCAUUGUUUGGUUGUUUGAUUUCUUUUAUUUUUUAAAUUUUGUUUAUUCUCAUUAUUGUUGGUUUAUUUUAUUUUAUUUUUUUCUUUCCUUGUCUAGUUAGUUUAUGAGUGUUUGGGAAUGUGAUUCAACAAAUCGUUUGGUAAAAGAGAGUCAAAAAUUGAUAGUAGUCAAGUUAGUUCUUCUGAAGUCAUGGAUGACCCAAAUAGAUUAUUGCCAAUACUUCCACCAGUGCAAGCAGAGAAAACCCUUAGAGAAUAUUUUUCACCACUUGCAGCCAACCAACCAUCUUGUAUUGUGUUGCCACAAACUACAGCAACACACUUUGAACUUUUUGAACUUAAGCCCUCAGUCAUCCAACUUUUACCAUCUUUCCAUGGGUUAGAGAGAGAGGAUCCAUAUUUGCACAUUAAGGAAUUUCUUGACAUAUGCUCUACAUUCCGUUUUCAAAAUUUUAAUGAUGAGUUAAUCAGGCUUCGUAUGUUAUCUUUCUCAUUAAAAGACAAAGCAAAAGCUUGGUUGAAUUCGCUUUCUGCUGGGUCUAUAACUACGUGGGAUGAAUUGAAUAAUAAGUUCCUCACCAAGUUUUUCCCUAUGUCUAAAACAAAUGCCCUUAGGAGAGAGAUAAGUGAUUUCUAUUAAAGAGAGGGUGAGCAAUUUUAUGAGUGUUGGGAAAGAUUCAAUGAUUUACUCCUCAAGUGCCCCCACCAUGGUUUUGAGAAAUGGAGACUUAUACAAUGCUUUUAUAACGGUUUAACCAUGUCGAAUCGUCAUAUGGUAGAGUCUAUGAAUGGUGGGAGAUUUUUGAACCUACAUGAAGGGGCUGCAUGGGAUUUCUUUAAUUCACUUUCUGAGAAUUCUCAACAGUGAGAUUUUUCAAGCCAAAGGGAAAAAUCAUCUCAAGUUUCUAGAAAGGGGUUAUAUGAAGUUAAGGAUGAUUUUGAUGUGAAAUCCACUCUAAUUACACUUUCUAGAAAAGUAGAUGCCUUAGCUCUGAACCAAUCAAUGAAUCAUCAUCCUAGUGUAGCUAAUGAGGUUUGUGCUAUUUGUUCUAACUUGUCUCAAACAGCACAAAACUGUCCAUCAUUACCAGUCUAUCCAGAGGCUUAUUCUGAGCAGGUACAUGCCUUACAAUCAUAUGAGAAAACCUCCAAUAAUACAUAUUCACUCACAUAUAAUCCUAAUUGGAGGAAUCACCCUAAUUUUUCUUGGAAACAAAAUCAAUCUUUGUCAAACCAAGGAGGACAACAAUUUAACAUGCCCAAUCAACAAUUUGUCCCUCCUAACCAAGUAUAUCCUCCUGCCCAACAACCUAUAUCUCAAUUUGUUACACCCCAACAAAGAAAACCUUCUUUAGAGGAUACACUUCAAAGUUUCAUUCAGUCAACCUAAUAAGCUUUUCAGUCAAACACUCAAGCUAUUCUAAAGCUUGAACAUCAAUUGGGUCAAUUAGCAACUACUGUAGCGGAGAAAGAAAAAAGAAAAUUCCCCAGUCAAUCAAUUCCUAAUCCUAAAGGAGUGCAUGAAGUUGGAUCGAGUUCAAGCCAUCAGCAUGAAGAAGCAAAAUCAAUUAUGACCUUGAGAAGAGGAAAAUUGUUUGACAACAAAGUGGAGGUUCAAACAAAGAAGACAUCUGAGCCUACUUCUUCAGAUCCAAUUACAUCACAAGAAUCAUCACCAAAUGAUCUUGAAGAGAGUGACCCGCUAGCUUACAUUCCCAAGGCUCAUUUUCCUCAAAGGUUAACAAAGGUAAAGAAAGGGACUUCAACAUGUGAGAUUAUAGAAAUCUUCAAGCAGGUAAGUAUAAACAUCCAUUUACUCGAUGCUAUUAAGCAAGUUCCUUCCUAUGCCAAGUUUUUGAAAGAUUUAUGCACUAAAAAGAGAAAUUUGCAUGUCACUAAAAAGGCGUUUUUAACUGAACAAACUAGCAAUUUACUUCAAUGUAAAAUGCCACCAAAAUUUAAGGAUCCUGGUUCUCCUACUAUUUCAUGUGUUAUAGGGAACCAAUGUUUUGAUAAAGCAUUAUUGGAUUUAGGUGCUAGUGUUAAUCUCUUACCUUAUUCCAUUUACAUGCAGCUUGGACUAGGUGAGUUAAAAUCAACUCCUAUUAUUUUGCAACUUGCUGAUAGGUCAAUGAAAAUACCUCGUGGUAUUAUAGAGGAUGUGUUGAUACAGAUUGACAAAUUUUAUUAUCCUGUUGAUUUUAUUGUUAUUGAUACUCAACAUGUACAUGAUCUUAAGAAACACACUCCACUUAUUCUUGGUCGUCCUUUCUUAGCUACAGCUGAUGCUCAUAUUAGUUGCAGGACUUGAAACAUGCAAUUGUCUUUUGGUAACAUGACCAUGGAAUUAAAUAUUUUUAAUGUUCCCAAGCAGGCACAAGAAGAUGAUGAAGUCGUUGAAGUAGAUAUGAUAGAAGCAUCAAUUGAUGACUCACUUAUUUCUAACCAUUGUGACAAUCCAUUAAUACCUUGCACAACUGACUCUGAUUUCUCUAUUGAUGUUGAUAGUGAUAUUGAAGAAGUUAAUGCUUUACUUGAUUCGACUCUUAUCAUAGAUCUAAUUAAGUGGAAAGAAAAGAUAAGAUUGAGCCACUUCCUCCUGAAGAGAAAAGUGCAACAUAGGUCACAUUCUGACAUAAAAAAGGUGGUAAGAUCUAAAACGCUUAAAUUAUUAGAUUUUUAUACUACUUUAGAUAACUCUCAGGAAAGCUUAGAACAGAAGAGAUCAAAGCAAUGCGAUAUUGAGGAGUUUCAUUACCAUCAUCCUUUUAUGGAUAAAAUGCUCCAGUGCUUAAUCAAUUAUGCUUUUUGGUAUUUUCUAUAUAAUUGCUUUAAUUUUCACCAAAUUCUUAUUGAUCCUGGUUGAUUUGUUGUUUACAUUAAUUAGUUAGUUAGUCGGAUUUUUUUAUUAUUAUUUAUAUUUCUUCUAACGUUUUCUUUUGAGUUGUCAUUCUUUUAAGUUUUCCUAGCUCAGUCAGGUGUGUUCUCUCCAACUUUCUCUUUUAUUAUUUAUGUUUUUAUUUUUCAUCUUUUUGCGUGCAUAUCUUUUAUUUAUGACACAUUGAGGACAAUGUUCCGAAUAAGUUUGGGGGUGGGAAUAAUGUUGCUUUGUUUGUUAAAAAAAACUAAAAAAAAAUUUCAAAAAUUCAAAAAAAAAUUGUGUUUUUUUUGUUUUUACGUGAAAAGCCAAUGAUAAAAACUUGAUUGACAAUGAAUAUGGUUUUUAGAAAGGGUUUAAUAUUGUCUUAAUUUAUACUUGAUUCUUAUGUUAGUUCCUCUUGAUUGAGAUUCUUUAAAAUAUAAGCACUAAUAUCAAUUCUUUCAUAAUUUUGACUUGAAAUUUGAGAUUGACGCAGCCUGAGUUGAGAAUUUUAGAUAGAGUAAAUGACUGUUUGUCUUUAUUCUUAUCUCCACAAUACAAAAUAGUAUACACAGGCACCAAAGUCAGAAAUAACUACCUAUAAUCCUUAAGAGUGAAGCUAUCCUUGAGUAAUUUAGGCCUAUGUACCACAAGUAUGUAGAGGAUAAUCUACCAUGAGAAGAAUGCUACCUUAAGGGGUAGAGUGAAAGCUCCUGACUAUGGUUAAAAAAAAAAGAAGAAGAAAAAGAGAAAGAAAAAAUCAAAUCAAGUGCAUGUGCUGAAAAAAAAAUCAAAAGAAAAUGCACAUAAAAGCCUGUGAAAAAAAAAUUGGAGAUUAAGAUGAUAAGAUUAGCUUGACCUACUCUUUUCUUUUUUUGAGGCGAAGGUUGUUGAUAUUGAAGAUUUUAGGAAUGAAUUUGAUUGAAUUGAUUUCACACACACACAACAAGAAUCGAAAGAGAGAUGGGAUUGAUUAUUGAAUUAAAGUUAGAACUUUGCCAAUAUUUGAAAUUUUGUUUGAGCUAUAUAAUUUAUGCAAUCUUUGAGGGUAUUUUCAUAUUUUAUUUAAAGUUUUUUUUUCUUUUUAUUUUAUUUUAUUUAUUUUUUAUUUUUUUAAAAUGAUGUUUGUGGGUGUCAUCACUGAAGCUCUCACGAGACUAUAACUCGUCCACUAGGGGUUUAAAGGCUUGUUGCAUACGCUAAAUGCAAUCGCGAUUACCUGCGAAAAUGGUUUAGUUAGGAUUUACUUUUUGUUUUGUUAUUUUUUUUUUUUUUUUUAGUUUUAGCUUUGCUCGAGGACUAGCAAAAUCUAAGUUUGGGGGUAUUUGAUGAGCAUAAUUUAUAUACAUAUUUUACCUUUAAUUAUAUAAUUAUUAGUUAUCUUUAUUAGUUAUUUUUAAUUAAUUGAAUUAUUUUAUUGCAUAGGGAAUUAAUUGGAGAUUGGGAAACAAAAAGUGCAUAAAGAAUAACAAGUUUGGGAAAGCAUCAAUCAAAGCCAUGACACAAUUAAGAGUUUAUAGCAUAUGAAGGCAAGAGUAAUUUGCACUAAAAAAGAAUUUCAAUUAUUCAAGUGAUCUGGACGUGCAUAGUAUUGUAAUGCAUGGAAAGCAACUUAAAGGGGCCCACACUUGGCUUUUACAAUUGGAAAAAGGAAUCCUAGUGCAAGCUUAAUUGGUGAGCACGUGAGUGAGAGCAAAGAAAAUUAAAAGGCCAAGCCUUUUGGCUUAAGGAAAUAACAAGGUCGGUGGGGCCCAUUUUAAAGAGUAAUAUAAAAGCAAGCUUUUGGCUUUUGGAGAGAGAAGCCGCCAGAGGAGGAAAACGCGAGACAAAGAGAAGAAAAUAUGCCGCAGUUCGACUUCUAUGGUUGGUUUUAUCUCUUUUGUUACUCUUAAUUCAAGUAUGUCUAGCUAAUUUUCUUAUAUUGAAGUUAAGGAUGAAAUCAUAUUCAAUGAAAUAAUUAUCUUUUUAUUUAUUUAAUUCCCAUAUAUGUUCUUUAAUGAUUAUGAUUUUUAUUUCACAUGAUUAAUUGGAUGUUAUUAAAAUCUUUUCAUCAAUUCUGUCAUAUAUUAUUGAUUGUUAUGAUUAAUAUUAAAUUAAAUCUAUACUUGGAUUUAUAAAGUUUAUACAUGAUUAUCUUUGAUUCUAUGUCUUUCAUUAAAUUGUUUACAUGGAGUGCCUAGGAAAACUUUGACUCUUUGUUAUUCAAUAUGUUCACAUGGGAUACUUAGAUGUCGUACUAUUAAGCGGAAAAAGAACCUAUAUUAGAUUUAAUUAUUUGGGCUUAAUUGUUAUAUCCAUGAGAUGACAUAGAUUGAUUUCGAGUUGUCACUCUAAAAUUGGGGAUUAAUGAAUAUUUAGAUAAUUACUAGUUGAAUAGUGGUGGAUUCUGAAACCUUGGUAAUUUCUAUCUUAUUGAAUUCUCCUUUACUUUAAUUGUUUUCUUAGUUUAAUUAGUUUAAUUUCUCUUAAAACUCAAUUCGCUCAACUAGGUUAGAAUUAAUAUUAAUUUUAGAUUUAAAUUAGACUUUUCAAUUUAUAACAAUCCCUGUGGGAUCGACCUCGUUACCACUACUCUAUUUCUAGAUUCGUGCGCUUGCGAGUAUAUUAAAAUUUUCACAACAUUCGGCACUCUCACUCCUUAAGAGAGGUCAGGGGUUCAAGCCUCGCUCUCGUAUGGAGUCACCACUUUGACCAGCACUUUACCCCUUACAGACCGACCCGGUGCGAGCAUGAAUUAGUCUGGGUUGUGGUACGGGCUUAAAGGUGCCUCCCACAAUUGAGACCCACUCAGGACCACCUCGUGGUUCGGACAAAAAAAAAAUUGAAAUAAAUUAUCUCAAAAUAAUUACUAACCAGAAAAAACAAAGGGGUUUAACUAGGUUAUGCAUACCUUUGAAAAUUAUAUGUUGAUCGAUAAGCAUGAUGAUCACGAUUGAGGAGUUUAAUUAAAAUUUAUAAGAUUUUAAAAUUAAUCAGGGUUAAAUUCUAAAUUUUAGAAAGAGAGGUUUUGUGAGAAUGCUGAAAGGGUGUUAAUAGUUCCACUCUUUUUUAAAAAAACCAUAGUCAUCAUUUUUCCCGAUUUCUUCUUCCCAUCUCCAUCUUAUUUAGAAAUUUCCCAGAGCCUUUGUUUCCCACCAUUCAUUUUUCUUCUUUCUAAUUUAAGAUUAUAGUAUUAUAAAAAUAAUUACUCACAUUUUAUCAAACACCUCCAUUAUACCAAGGCCUUGUUUUAGUAGUAGGCUUUUAUUAUCUCAAUAAAAUUGAAAAAACAAAGCUCAAUAAUAUUGGAAAAAAAACCUACCCAUAUUUGUAACUUUAAUUUAUUAUUCUCCAUAGACCUACUUUUUAGCUUUGAAUUUUGUUGGAGCCAUAUAUAAACAGAAUAUGUUGAAAUCAGCACAAAAAAAAAACUAAUUAUAUAAUUUUUGUUCCCAAGGACACGACUGUGUGAUUUUUAAGAAGUUUUGUUUGGCUGGCCACUUAGGUUUAAAUCUUGGUGGAGAUUAGGGGUUAAGAAAUAAAUUUGGACUUUGCACACCCCUUUAACUUUUAAAAAGAAUGAAAAAAACUAAUUAAUUAAUCUUUAUUUUAUUUAUUAAAUGUCAUAAUCAUAUGCAUAUUUUAUUUGUUAUCUUUCUAUUUAAAAGAUAGGAGGGCAAAUAAAACUGAAAUAAAUGUUUAUCCCUAUCUCCAUCUUUCAAGUUCCAUAGUUAGGUGACCAGCUAAAGAAAAUUAAUUGAAAGUUACUCCAUCAAAUUAAAAAAAAUUAUUUAUUUAAUUUGUGGAGAUGUAGAAAAUCAAACCCCAUACCUUUUCGCAUGCAAAAGUGUCAACCUGGUCUAGCUAUGUUGCAACAGUAAACAUAUUUUAAUACAUGACUAUCAUCUUUUAUCCUAAAUACUACUAUAACUAUGGGUUCAGUUAUGCUGUAACUGUGGUAUGGUACCACAGUUGUUUUCAACCAUUAAAUUCAACUUAUAUAACUAUGCAACUGUAGAUCUAACGGCUGAAAGCAACUAUGGUACCAUACCACAGUUGCAACAUAGUUUUGCCCCUAUAACUCAUAACAUUCAAUUGAAAUAAUAAAUGUUAACACUUGGCUAUAAAUAAAGGUUUUGUACUUGAAUCUUCAUGCAUGACCUUCAUUCCUUUAUUGACUUUGCUAACACAGAUUUUGAGGCAUUAAAACUAAAUAAUAAUUGACUUUGUGGGCCGAGGAUGCCAGCAACAAGGAGACCACAAUUAUCACUAGUUAAGUUACUCUAAUUGCCGUUGUCUUAUAUUCAUAAAAUAUUAGUAAUAAGAUUAUUGUAGAAUUUUUUUAUAUUAAAAUUAAGUCAAUUUGUUAUAACAAAUUUAGUUGAGUUUAAUCGUGUUACUACAUACAUUGAAUAAUAAUAGAAUUCUCGACAAAUAUUUCAAUAUUUUUAUCCCAAGCGUUGGAGUGGCAUUUAUUUGUUAGACAAUCGAUUUUAGAACUUAUAAAAUUAUUCGUUACUGAAUUGCACCAUAUGCUGCAUGACCUGAAACUUAAUAAACGGAACGUAGCGUUGGCAACAUUCACUGUCAUGACUUUGUGACAUUAGAAUUAAAUUUUUUUGCACAUUUAAUUUGUUUACUUCCAAAUUAAUAUUUAACAAAAUAUUUUUUCACAUUAUCAAUGGACAAAACUCCAACGAAAAUAACUAUACAAUAUAUGCUAGUAUUGUAUGCCAUAUCAUCUGUAAUUUUGUCAGGAUCGAUCAUUUUAAUUUUUAAGCAAAACUUUUUAUCAAUGGACAAACACCUCACACAGCUUGUCAGAGGCAUUAUUAUGAUGGAAAACUGAUAAACAGUGAACUCGAAACUCAAUUACUACAAGUCGUUUAGAGGAUUCAGUCUUGGAUGACUUGUCACUUGUGGAAUUCUUGAAGCCAGAACCGACAUAAUCUCAGUCGUCAUUCUGUCUUAAGUAAUACACAUGGUUUGCAUGUGUGUUGAAGCUGACUCUUUGCUUGGAUCAAGAAACGACGUCUUUGAGUGCCGUUUCUUAAACACACUUUAAAUCAGCUUGUGUCAAGCACGUGAGGUAGAGCUUUUUGAAUAGAUUUGGCGGGAAUGGUAGUUAGUGUAACAACCCAGAAAUAGAGGUUAAAAGGUGAAGGCUUUGUCAUCAUCUACACAUGAUUUGGGAAACAUUGAGAGUAGAGAAAAAGAUAGAGAGAGAAAGGGGUUAACAAGUUCUUGUUCUCUGUAAAUCGAUUUAUAUUCUUGUAAAGUUUGUGAUCUCAAUUAGUGAAAGACUGUUGCUUUGUUUCCAGUGGAUGUAGGCACCACUUCUUGGUGCUGAACCACUUAUACUUGGUGUCAUAUUGUUUCUUUAAUGCUUUGAUUCUUGCGUGUGAUUGUUGCUGGAUAAUCUGUGCUGUUAAUUCUCAAACCAUUGAUACAGAAUUAAUGUCUUGGGGAGAAUUUGGUUAGUCUUAUCAAAGCCGAAUUCACAACAAAUUGGUAUCAGAGCCCUCUUUUCUGUAUCAAGGUUCAAGAAAUGACUAACAAGGUGGAUCUUGAGAAGUUCAAUGGUCAGAAUGAUUUCAAUAUGUGGAGGAUCAAGAUGGAAGCAUUGUUAAUCACACAAGGUCUGGGAGAUGCCAUUGAUCCAGUCAUUAAGAGUGAAAAUGCAGAAGCCUAUUCUUCAAGAACUCCAGAACAGAUGGCUAAGAUUGAAAAAAAGGCAAGAAGCACCAUCAUCCUCAGUCUUGGUGACUUAGUGAUAAGGGAAGUUGCCAAGAAAAAGACUGUUGCUAGGCUCUGGGCAAAACUGGAACAAUUGUAUAUGACAAAGUCCUUAGCAAACAGGCUAUACAUCAAGAAAAAGAUGUUCUCACUGAGGAUGAUUGAAGGAGCAUCACUUGAUGAACACAUAGAUGAGUUUAAUAAAGUUUGUGAUGAACUGGAAACAAUUGAUGAAGGACUGAGUGAUGAGAGCAAGGCUUUGCUGUUAAUCAGUUCUUCACCAAAAUCAUAUGAACAUUUUGUGGAUGCCUUGUUAUAUGGAAGGCAAUCACUCUCCUUGGAAGAGGUUAAAUCUACUCUUGGUACCAAGAAGUUAAAAGAAAAACAAGAUAACUCAGAGAGUGAAUCAAGUGAAGGGCUGAUGGCAAGGGGCAGAUCUGAAAAAAAGGAGUACAAAGGAAAAAAACAAGGGAGAUCAAAGUCAAAGCAGAAACAUUUGAAGUGUUUUCACUGCCACAAAGAAGGGCAUUUCAAGAGGGAUUGCCCUGAGAGAAAAACAAAGCAAAAGGAAUCAAAAGACAAAUCUGGAAAUACAGCAAUAGCCACAGAAGAAACCAGUUUUGAGAUAGCUGAAGUCCUCAUUGCCACAAAAGAAAAAAACUCAAGGUCAGUGGGUACUAGACUCUGGAUGUACUUUUCAUAUGAGUCCAAAUAGAAAUUACUUUACUACAUAUCAGUCCUGUGAUGGGGGUAUGGUGCUGAUGGGAAAUAAUUCAGUUUGUAAAGCAGUUGGGAUUGGGACUGUAAGCCUUAAGAUGUAUGAUGGCAUGGUUAGAGAACUAACUCAGUUUAGGCAUGUUCCUGAGCUUAAAAGGAACCUAAUAUCUAUUGGCAUGCUUGAUCAAACUGGAUGUGUCAAUAAGGCUGAAAAUGGGUCAUUGAAAGUUAUCAGAGGCUCAAUAGUCAUAAUGAAAAGUUCCAAGCAAAAUGGUUUGUAUGUGUUGAAUGGACAUACAACUGUUGGAGAGGCAAGUGUCACUGAGAAGAGUGAAGACAAAGCAAGACUAUGGCACUUGAGGUUGGGGCAUAUGAGUGAAAGGGGAUUGAAGGAGCUUCAAAAGAAUGGGGUGUUUGGAAGUGACAAGCUAAGUUCUUUGGGGUUCUGUGAAGACUGUAUCCUAGGGAAGGCUUCCAAUCUCAAGUUUGAAUCUGCAGUUCAUUCUACCAAAGAGAAGCUUGCAUAUAUACACUCUGAUAUGUGGGGGCCUGCACAGGUAAAUUCUCUUGGUGGCUUUAAGUAUUUCUUAUCCUUAAUAGAUGACUAUUCAAGGAUGGUUUGGGUGUAUGUACUCAAAACCAAAGAUGAAGCUUUGGAAAAGUUUUAGAGGUGGAAAAUUCUGGUAGAAACACAGACAAGUUUGAAAGUAAAAGCUCUAAGAACAGAUAAUGAAUUGGAAUUCUGCAACAAAGAGUUUGGAGACUUUUGUAAAAGACAUGAGAUUAUGAGGCACAAAACAGUCAUACACACACCUCAGCAAAAUGGUUUUGCUGAGAGAAUGAACAGAACCUUAAUGGACAAGGUGAGGUGUAUACUGCUAUACUCAAAGCUGCCUAAGUCACUCUGGGCAGAGGCCUUAAACACAGCAUGUUACUUGGUAAAUAUAAGUCCAUCUACAGCAAUAGAAUGCAAAACACCUAUCGAGCUAUGGUCUGGAAGGGUUGCAGAUUACUUUAAACUGAGAAUCUUUGGAUGUGUUGCUUAUGCAUAUGUCAAACAAGGCAAAUUGGAGCCAAGAGCUUUAAGGUGUAGAUUUCUAGGAUACCCUGAUGGAGUUAAAGGCUAUAGGCUAUGGUGCAUUGAUUUGAAGCCACCAAAAUGCAUUAUCAGCAGGGAUGUAACUUUCAAUGAGUCAGAAAUCUUGAACAAAUCCAAAACCACUUAAUCCAAAGAUCAUAUAUCAGAAACAAGACCUGGGAGUGUUCAGUUUGAGGUGGAGUCCUAUGAACAAGAUAGGACUGAAUCAGAAACUGAAGGAGAUUCAGGAAGGGUUACUGAUGGAUUUGAUGUUGUUCAGGAGUCAGAGCCAGCUGAGAAUGAAGAUAAUUCUUAUCAGUUGGUCAGGGAUAGAAAGAAGAGAGCUGUAAGACCACCUAAGAGGUAUACAAUAGCAGAUUUCAUAGCUUAUACAUUAACAGUUGCACAAGAGGUAAAUGAGGAAGAGCUAAGAACCUAUAAAGAAGCUAUAAACAGCAUGGAUAAGAUGAAAUGGAAGGAGGCUAUGGAUGAGGAAAUUGAAUCACUAAUGAAAAAUGGAACUUGGAAGCUGAUAGUUAGACUAGAAAAAAGGAAGACUGUUAGCUGCAAAUGGAUCUUCAAAGUUAAGGAAGGUAUAUCUGAUGCUGAACCUAGUAGGUUUAAAGCUAGGCUGGUAGCAAGAGGCUUCACACAAAGAGAGGGGAUUGAUUUCCAUGAAAUCUUCUCUCUAGUUGUGAAACAUGCCUCCAUCAGAGUCAUCUUAGCUUUAGUUGCCAUUCAAGACAUGUACCUGGAGCAUAUGGAUGUUAAAACAGCCUUCCUGCAUGGUGAAUUACAAGAAGAAAUUGUAAUGGAACAGCCUGGGGGGUAUGUGGUGUCUAGUAAGGAAAAUCAUGUGUGCUUACUAAAGAAAUAUUUAUAUGGAUUAAAGCAGUCUCCUAGGCAAUGGUACUUGAAGUUUGAUAGUUUUAUGACAAAACAUGCCUACAAGAAAUGCAAUUAUGAUUGUUGCGUGUACUUUAGGGACAUUGGUGAUGGAAAGAUGAUUUAUCUUAUGCUGUAUAUGGAUGACAUGCUUAUAGCAUGUCACAGCAUAGAUGAAAUCAGUCAUUUAAAGAAUCUCUUGAGCAGUGAAUUCGAUAUGAAAGAUCUUGGAGCUGUAAGGAAGAUCUUAGGUAUGGAAAUUAUCAGAGACAGGAGAAGGAAGCUUAUGUUUUUAACCCAACAGAGCUAUGUUAAGAAGGUGUUGCUUAGAUUUGGGAUGCAUGAAUCCAAGUCUGUUCAAACACCUUUGGCAAAUCACUUCAAGCUGUCUGCUGCACAUUGUCCACAAACUGAUGCAGAGCAAGGAAAAAUGGCAAGGAUACCUUACUCCAGUGCAGUUGGGAGCCUCAUGUAUGCCAUGGUUCUCACUAGACAUGAUAUCUCACAUGCUGUGAGUAUAGUGAGUAGAUUCAUGGCAAAUCCAGGUUAUGAGCAUUGGAGGGCAGUCCAGUGGAUAAUGAGGUACCUGAAAGGCACUAUGGAGUUUGGUCUGCUAUAUGGAGGGUUAAAACAGGAAGGGCACAAGCUGGUGGGGUAUGUUGACUCAGACUUCGCUGGAGAUCUUGAUAAAAGGAGGUCUCAGACAUGUUUUAUAUUCACUUUGGGAGGCUGCACUGUGAACUGGAAAGCUACUCUGCAAAGUGUGGUAGCUUUGUCCACAACUGAAGCCGAAUAUACAGCAGCUGCAGAAGCUUUUAAGGAAGUCAUCUGGUUAAAAGGAAUGGUCUCAGAGUUAGGAGCAAAACAAGAAACAGUUGAAGUAUACUGUGAUAGCCAGAGUGCAAUACAUUUGAGUAAAAACCAGACCCAUCAUGAAGGAACAAAACAUAUUGAUGUAAAGCUUCAUUUUGUAAGACUUGAAGUUUCAAAGGGAACUGUGAAGAUGCUCGAGGUUCACACUGAUCAAAAUCCAACCGAUAUGUUGACUAAAGCUGUGCCUUCUGCCAAGCUCAACUUCUGUUUGAGCUUAGCAGGAAUUUGCAGUUUCUGAUCAGCUGCAAAAGAAAGGGAAUAAAGUAUACAGGAGUAGCUAGAGUUCAGAGUUCACACUGAUUAAAAGGUGCAGGCUUUGUCAUCGUCUACACAUGAUUUGGGAAACACAGAGAGUAGAGAAAAAGAUAGAGAGAGAAAGGGGUUAACAAGUUCUUGUUCUCUGUAAAUCGAUUUCUAUUCUUGUAAAGUUUGUGAUCUCAAUUAGUGAAAGAUUGUUGCUUUGUUUCCAGUGGAUGUAGGCACCACUUCUUGGUGCUGAACCACUUAUGCUUGGUGUCAUAUUGUUUCUUUAAUGCUUUGAUUCUUGCGUGUGAUUGUUGCUGGAUAAUCUGUGCUGUUAAUUCUCAAACCAUUGAUACAGAAUUAAUGUCUUGGGGAGAAUUUGGUUAGUCUUAUCAAAGCCGAAUUCACAACAAAAACUGUAAUGGUAUAUCUUGAAUUAUUGGUAGAAUAGUUCUUUGGAGCAAUAAAAACAGAUAAGACAGAUGAGAAAAUUGUCAAUACCCCACCGCAAAAGCAAAAGAAAACAAGGAAAGGAGACAAAAGAGGAAGAAGAAAAAGAAAAAAGAACGAAGAAAAAAAUGGUGCCGUGCGGUAUAGGCAAGAAGAAAAAAUAAUAAAAAAUAAUAAAAUAAUAGUGCACAACAAUCAUUUGAUUGCUAUAAAUAAAAGGCGUUUCCCUCAUUUUAUUCAUCGAAUUCUUCAGUUCCUUUCAAGCGAUUUAAGAGUCUAGUGAUUUGAGAGUUUGGGUGUAGUAUGAUUUUGGGUAGUGAGCUAAAAUACUACAAUACUUGUAACUCAUUUUUAUUAGUAAAAUAUUUUCCUUCUGACUUCGCCCGUGGACGUAUGCUAAAAGCCGAAUCACGUAAUUUCUGGUGUCCCUAUGUGAUUAUGUGUCUCAUUAUUUCUUAAUUUCACUUUAGUUGCGUGUCUGCGACACCCCUCAAUUUAUUAACAAAAAAUGGCCAAAAUUAUAUAAGUGACCCAAAUUUUUUUGUUAUUUCCAAGAAAUCCCCAAUCUGAAUGGGCUAGACCAGAGGGAGGCAAGUUAGAAAUACAUUUCCUUCAUAGACAAUAACAGUGAUGAGUCGAUGACAUCAAGCCACGUCGGUAUCAAUAUUGAAUUAAAGGUGCAAUUAUUCAGCCAAUGAACCUUACACAUCAAGAUAAAAGUCAAGAAAAUGAAAAUUUAUCCCAAUUAAAACACUUUCUGGCUGCAUUUAGUUGUUUCCAUUAGAAGUUAAAAACAACGUUUCUUUCGUUUUGUGGGCAACUCAACUGAGUUAGCUGGCUUCUAGUGCUAGUAUGUGAAAAUAGAAGGCUAAUGAUUUAUUUAUUAUCUUUUGACAAAAUUAUUAAAGAUAUAAUAGAUUUUCUAUGAUACAAGUGAAAAAUCACAUCAACAUAGCUUUCAAUCUACAGCAGCUAGCGUUUACCAAACACUUUGUUGUAGCUUUUAAGCUAUAGCUGCCCAACCUCAAUCUCAAACGCACCCUUAAUAGGUUGAUUGAAUUUGUGAGAUAUGGAUUCCACAUAUCUCAUGACCUAGUAAUUAUACAAGUGGUUCGUGAUCAAGACACAACAUUUGCUUCCGGCCUAGUGACCCAGCAAUCGCUGCACUGGUCGCCACCUAUGGUGCCGACGAUAUUGCAUGGUCCAAUUGUGGCCUUGAAUGGAAAAAGUUGAGCAAAUUAUUUGUGGACACGAUGAUAAGUAACGCAAGCCUUGAUGCUAGUUAUGGUCAAAGAAAACAAGAGGUUAAGAAUACUAUCAGAGAUAUUCAUAACAACAAAAAGGAAAAAAAAAAGGCAUUUGCAAGCCCAUUGAUAUUGGUGAAUUGUCGAUUUCAACUUUGGCAUGUGUAAUCCAGAACCUGCGCGCUGUGGUAUGGCGCUGGCACGCUUGCAUUAACGAGGGGACAAGUCUUGGGGCUGAGCUAACAUUUAAGCUCGCAGAACUCAUGGUGCUAAUGGGAACACCAAAUAUUUUUUUGACAUAUUUUGGUGCUUUCAUGGUUUAAUUCAAGGUAUAGAAAGGAGUGUUGAGAAUGUCAAAUAAAACGGCAUUGAAUGGAAGUUGUCAAAGACACGAUCCGCACCGAACGGCAACGACACGGUUGCUAAAAAUCCUUCCAUAAUAUGCAUAUCUAAUUUUUUAAAAAGUGUAACCUCUGCAUUUAUAAAUAUACUCAAUGUAUAAUGUUUUACUUAAGAAAUGAAAAACUUGUUUGUUCAAGGAGAAUAAAGAAAAUUUUUCUAUGAUUUUUUUAUGGUUUGAACAAAGAAGGUUUUAAUGAGUAUUAUAGACCUCGAUUGAAUGUUCGAAUGUAUAAUAAAAGAGAAACUGUCACAUAAAUGACAAAGAUACUUGGAAAAAAAAAAAGGGCAGCAAUAGAGAAUUAGAUUCGACUGCACAAAUAACUAGUUAAUUCAUCAAUACAUCAUUUUCUUGCUAGAAAAUGACAAUUAUGACAGCAAGCCACGAUAGUGUCAAUAUUGAAAUUGAUUUGCAAUUAUUCAGCCAAUGUGCCUUACACGUCAAGAUAAAAGUCAAGAAAAUGAAAGUUAAUAUCAAUUAAAACACUUCCUGGGCCGCAUUUAGCUCCAGUUUUUGUGGUAGGAAAACAAAGUUUUGUUUUAAAUUCACAUGGUGUGCACUUCCUAUAUAAAUCUAGAGUUGUGUCCCACGUUGAACAAUAAAGGAAAGUCACCUAAAUAUACAUGUAGGAUAAGUUACUUUAUUUAGUAAGUUUGUAUUUUCUUCUUUCUUCUAGUUUACAUAUAAAUUUGAUUAGAUAACUUAACACAUAUUUUAAUACUUGAUCAGAAGCCCUACGUACAGGUGGAUCUAGAAACUUGAUUUCUAAGAGUAAUACUAUAAUAAAAAAAUAAUGAUUCAUAGAACCAAUAUCAAAAUUUGUUUACAAGAUUACCCCCACUCAAAGGUAAUUUUCAUAGAAAUUAAUAGGAAAUUUAAUUGUUAGUGGGGUCAAAUUGCCCCCACACUCUGAAUGUAGAUCCACGCCCGACCCUGAGUCAAGUAUAUUUUGCCACAUAUACUCUGAAUGUCGGCAGGAAAAAUCUUCCACUUUAGUUUAAAAUUUUCACUUAAAAUUUAUUUACGUUAAUAAAGUUGGUAAAGGAAAUGAGUUUAAUUAAAGAAUAUUAUAGGAGAAAUUCUAUUGUUUGGCUUUUAAUAAAUUAAUUAAUAGGUUUAAAAAGAUUAAUAUACAUCAAAAUAUUAUUAGUUGGUGGUGGUUCCACAUCGGACUAAGACGUGGCACCUUACUUGUGAGAUUAAGACAAUCAGGCUUAGACUAUUUAAAUAUGUUUGAAGCUUAGAUGGCACCGCUUCAAUUUGCAUUAAUGAAUGUCAUUCUUUACCCUAAUUACUACGUAAUUGAUAACAUGCAAUUGAAAUAACUAAUAUUAGCACUUGGCUAUAAAUGAACUAAAGGCCGUGCAAUUGAAUCUUUACUUGAUCACUUCAUUCCUUUAUUUUGCUAACACAGAUUUUGAGAUAUUAAAACGAAAUAAUAAUUGAAUCUGGCUUUGUGGGUCGAUGAUGCCAGCAACAACGAGACCACAAUUAUCACUUGUUUAUUUGCUGUAUUUGACGUUGUUUCAUAUUGGUAGUAAUAACUAAUAAGGUCGUUGUAGAGUUUUUAAUCUUUUUUUUUAUAUUAAUCACGAGGUAUCCUGGGGAGGGCCCCAACUGUGGGAGGCACCUUUAAGCUCGUACCACAACCCAGACUAGAAGUCCCCGCUCGAACCGGGAGGCACAGUUUUUAAUCUUUUUUAUAUUAAAGUUAAGUCAAUUUGUUAUAAAUAAAUAAAAAAUUGGUUGAGUUUAAUUAUAUUGCUAUGUACAUUAAAUAAUUAUAAUAUUCUCGAGGGAAAAAGACACCUAGAACCUCAAGGUUUGGGGAAAUGGUCACAAAAACUCCUAAGUUUUAAAAAAGGAACACUAAAAUCUUUUUUUACCCAUAAUACCCUUUGACUAUAGUAAUUAGAAAAUUGACUUUAAAGGUUUUUAAAUAAUACAAAUUUAAUAUAAAUCAUAUAAUCUAUCUAGUACACUAAUAAUAUUAAAUUAUUUUUUAUAUUUAAAAUAAUGUUAAAAAAUUUAAAUUAUUAUAUUUAUUUUAAUAAUAUAUUUAUAAAAUUAUAAAGAUUUUAAAUAAAUCUUUGGAUUGAAUAUAUUUUACAAUUAAAAGUCUUCCUAUUAAUAAUAUUAAAAUUAAAUUUUAAGUAAUAUAUAUUCAAAAUAUUUUUAAUUUAAUUUUAUUUAUUUUAAUAUUAUGUUUCUAUCUAUUAUUAAAAAUUACUUUAAUAUAAUAAAAUAGGUCUAAUAGAUUGAAAAAUAUGAAAAUAUUUUUAAAAUUUUAAAUUAUUUUGAAAUGUAUAUAUUAUUACAUUUAUUUCAAUGUCAUAUUUCCAUUUAUUAUAAAAUUUUGGGGUUAUUUUUUUGGGAAUUUAUAGAGUCAAAGAGCAUUAUGGUUAAAAAAGAGUCUUGGUGUCCCUUAUUGAAAACUUUAGAGUUUUUGUGACCAUUUUCCUAAAUCUUGGGGGUGUUGAAGUGGCACUUAUUGUAAGAUUGAUUUUAAAAUAUGUAAAAUUAAUUUUAUUACAUUACCAUAUGCUACAUCACCUGAAACUUAAUAAAUGGAACGUAGCAUUACUCCACGUUCACCGUUAUGACCUUAUGACAUUAGAAUUAAAAUCUUUCGUACGUUUAAAUUGUUUACUUCCAAAUUAAUCUUUCGUAAAUAUUUUGUACAGAUCUUAUCGGAGUUAGCGUGUUCAUUACAGUGUUUCUUUUCUUUUAUCCUUUCUUUUGAAACGUAUUUCCUGUGGACAAGGAAAGCAAAUAAUACCCUGCCACCAGGACCUCGCGGCUUGCCUGUAAUCGGAUACCUUCCAUUUCUCGGAAUUACUGACUUACACAAGACAUUCACGGAAUUAGCUGGUCUAUAUGGCCCGAUCUUCAAACUCUGGCUUGGCAACAAAUUGUGUGUAGUGGUUAGCUCGCCUUCAACUAGUUCUAUAAGAAUAUCCCUUUUAAGGGAUUCUCUCUCUGCAAAAUUUUUUUAUCUUCUGGUGCAUAAUAAAAACUUAUGCCACUUCAUUAACCACAGAUAUCUUUUGAGGAAACGAUGUUUCGUUUUCUUUUGUUUUUUCCUUCCUAAUCCUCGCAUAUCGUGUGAAGGCUAAUAUAUCCAAGAAUCUAAAUCUCUGUAAAUCUUUUUCUAUCCAAAUCUACAUAAUAAUUUAAUCCAUGCACAAUAUCUAUAAUUAUAUCGGCUGUCGGCUGAUUUCGUGGAGGGGGCGGCAGUUCAAAUUUUUUACGUGCAUGUUGGAUGGACGUCUCUAUUAAAGGAGAGCCACCACUUGCAUGGUAAUUUUUUUAAAUAAAUAUAUACAUUUCAAAAUAUUAUUUCAUUGUUGUAUAGUUAACAUGUCACCUUAGAUGUAUUUUAGAACUUCUCCUAUUAAAGAUAAUCUCAUGCAGUGAUACUUCUCGUGAUCUAAUCAUUAGUAGAAUCUAUAAUUUCGCUACUGUAAUAAAAUCUGUCCCUACCCUAUAUGAAUGUAGAUAUUUGACGCGAUUUGUAAUUGCUUCCGACAGGAAAACAGCAAUAGUUUAAUUGAAAUUUGUGGUAUGGAUUCCACGAAUCUUAUGACAGAAUACUGACCACUCCAACCCUAUCCACAUUUACACGAUUAAAACACAAGCUUAGAUGUGACAAUGCAUUUGUCACUUUUGUUCAAAUUCAUCCUGAAACACUAUACACUAAAUAAUCGAAUAUGGCUUCGUGGGUCGAUGAUGCUAGCAGCAACGAGACUGCAAUUAUCACUUGUUUUGUUGCUGUACUUGUCGUGGUCUAUUUCGCAUGGAAUGUAAACAAAUCAAGUAAAGCAAAUGCUAAAUUGCCACCAGGAUCUCGGGGCUUGCCAGUAGUCGGAUACCUCCCAUUUCUUGGAACUACUGACUUACACAAGACAUUCACGGAGUUAGCUGGAGUUUAUGGUCCGAUCUUCAAGAUUUGGCUUGGGAAUAAAUUGUGUGUAGUGGUGAGCUCGCCUACCCUAGUUAAACAAGUGGUCCGUGAUCAAGAUAUAACAUUCUCAAACCGCGACCCACCGAUCGCUGGAACUGUGACCACCUACGGUGGCAAUGAUAUUGCACUUUCCAAUUAUGGUCCCGAAUGGAAAAAGUUGCGAAAAUUAUUUGUGAGCAAGAUGAUGAGUAAUGCAACCCUUGAUGCUUGUUAUGCUCUAAGAAAACAAGAGGUUAAAAAUACUAUCAGGGAUUUGUACAACAACAAUAAGGAUAAUAUUGGCAGUGGCAAUGGCAAGCCCAUUGACGUUGGUGAAUUGUCGAUUUCAACUUUGGUACGUGUUAUGCAGAACAUGCUGUGGGGUCAAGCAUUGGAAACAAGAGAGAAAGAGAUUACUAAUCUCGGGGCUAAUCUUGCAGAACUCAUGGUGCUACUGGGAACACCAAAUAUUUCGGAUAUUUUUCCAGUGCUUUCAUUGCUUGACAUGCAAGGUAUAGAGAGAAGAGCUAAGAAGAUUUCUCUAUGGUUUGAAAACAUUAUCAAUUCUGGUGUUGAACAGUAUAGAAACAAGUUUUCUGUUGUUAAAGGUGAAGAAGCUGCAGCAGGAAAAAAUAUUGAACGAUCAAGAAAUAAGGACUUCUUGCAGUUACUGUUGGAGCUUCAGGAAAAUGAAGAUAGUGCUUCAUCUAUUAGCAUGAACCAACUAAAGGCCGUGCUCGUGGUAUGUUAAGCAACUAGACACAAAAAGUUGUAAAAGCACAGUGAUAUAUUUGCGCGAGGCCGCGAGUGAUGUUUUGCCUCGAGAACUCUCAAUUUUAUCUUACGGUAAAAAAUGUUUUUCAACUUUUUUUAAUUAGAAUUUUAUUGCAAUUUAUUUAACAGGACAUAAUUGUGGCCGGAACCGACACCACAACUACGAUGGUGGAAUGGACAAUGGCAGAGUUGAUGCAACAUCCACAAGUAAUGAAGAAAGUUCAAGAAGAAUUAGCUCAAGUUGUGGGCAUGGACAGUUGUGUUGAAGAAUAUCACUUGCCUAAAUUAAAUUAUUUAGAUGCUGUGGUGAAAGAAACAUUUCGUUUGCAUCCUGCGUUGCCCUUAUUGGUACCUCGCACGGCAAGCGAGAACAGCAAUAUUGGUGGCUAUACCAUUCCCAACGACACUAAUUUUAUGUUGAAUGUUUGGGCUAUUCACAGGGAUCCUCAACUUUGGGAUAAUCCCUUAGAUUUUCGACCUGAGAGGUUCUUGAAUGAUGAUAUCAUAAGCAAAUUCAAUUACUCGGGUAACAAUUUUCAGUACUUGCCAUUUGGUUCUGGUAGAAGGAUGUGCGCUGGCAUUCCUCUAGCUGAGAGGAUGUUGAUGCUUGUUCUGGCUUCGUUGUUGCACUUGUUUGAGUGGAAAUUGCCCCCGGGCACAAAGCUAGACUUAGCUGAAAAGUAUGGGAUUGUCAUGCGGAAAAAAGAGCCUCUGAUUGCUAUUCCAACACCAAGGCUACCAAAUUCAGAUCUCUACCAGUAAGAUCAAAAUGGUUGUGAUGAUAUUAUUUCCCAUUGUAUUGGAAUAUUUUUGUGUGAUUUGAAGUUCAAUCAUAAUAAAAUAUUUUAAUAAAAUGUCCUCGGUUGCUAAUUUUUCAAUAGUAUACUCUAUCAUCGUUUCUAACUGUCUUUUAGAGCCAUUUGGUCUAAUUUAUUUUUGAAUUAAAAUCCAUAAAUAUUUAAAUUUUUGAAUCAUAUUAAGAAUUAUCUGGAGUGUAUGGUCUGAUCUUCAAGUUCUGGCUUGUAAACAAAUUAGAGUUCUGAUAUUUGCCCCGGGUCAAACCCCGAAAUUAAAUAAAACGGCGUCGUUUUGUUUUUUUUUUUUUUUUUUUCUUUUUUACUUCUUCCAAACGUUGCCAUUUCACUUGUCAUUUGCAAGUGACUCCAUUGAUCCUUAGUUGAAACAGAGUUACACCGUAAAUCUCUUCCUCUUCGUUUCUUCGUUUCACCAGGGAACGAGACAGAUAAAAUCCAGCCAUUCUUCGACAUAACAAGAUAUCGAUUAGAAUCCAACGACAUAACUAUAAACCAUGACAUUGCGCUUGAUUUUGCGAAAUACCGAUUAAGAACCAGUAACUUUGAAUCCAAUGACCGUUAAGAGUUUGAAAUUGGUUUCAAAUGACUAAUGAGUUAUCAGAUUUCUUUGCGUCUACAUUUUCCUUGAAGGUUUCUCAGCAGCCAAACAAAUACAAAGCAAAUUGCAGAAGAAACACAUUUUGUUCCAAUGAAAAAUGUACGGAAACAUUUUAAAUAUGGAAAAUUACCUCAAAAUGAAGGCUCGCAAGAGAUUCGAGCAACAAAUUAGAUCAAAGGAACCGGCGCUGAGCAAGAAAGUGAGCUCAAAGAUUCCGAAACACAAACGUAAAUUCACAAAAAUGCAAAUCUAUGAUGAACGCCAAGAUCAAAAUUUUCGAAGAAAGGGAGCUGAAAAAAUAAAUGAAACGUCAAACUAGAUGACAAUGGAUUUGCUUCUUCAAAGGAGACAAUGAAAUUGUUACUAGAGACAGCUAGAGAAAUAGAGAGAGAGAGAGAGAGAGCUUGAAUUGGCUGUACCCCCACCAGAAAGUGGGUAGUGCCUUUUCCACUUGGACUUGAUAUGCGAAUCUGAAAAAAUCUGAACGAAGGACUGACUCAUCCCAGCUCGAAAGCAAACCAAGCUAGGACUGACUGAAAACGUUGCCGUUUGGAGAAGUUAAAAAAAAAAACUAAACAAAACGACGCCGUUUUGUUUAGUUUCGGGGUUUGACCCGGAAUUUGACCCGGGGCAAACAUCAUUUUCCAACAAAUUAUGCAUGGUCGUGUACACGCUUUCCCUAAUUAAGCAUGAGGUUCGUGAUCAAGGCACAACAUUCACUCCCUGCGACCCAACAAUCGCUACAUUGUUUGCCACCUAUAGUGCCAACGAUUUUGCACGGUCCAAUUAUGGUCCCCAAUCGAAAACGUUGCGCAAAUGUUUUCUGGGCAAGAUGAUAAGUAACGCAAGCCUUGAUGCUUGUUAUGGUCUAAGAAAACAAGAGGUUAAUAUAUAUAUAUAUAUAUAUAUAUAUAUAUAUAUAUAUAUAUAUAAAUUGGCAUUGUCAACUUUUGUAUGUUUUAUUCAGAACCCGCUGUGGGUUGACGCUAGCAUGCUUGCGUUAGGAGACGAGGGGACCAAUCUUGGGGCUGAGCUAAAAUAUAAGCUUGUAGAGAUCAUCUUGCUAAUGGUAAUGUUUUCCGAUGCUGGUUUAAUUCAUGGUAUAAAAAGGAGAACAAAAAAGAUUUUUCUAUGCUUUGAAAAUAUUAUAAUUUUUAUUUUAUAAUUUUUAAUAAAAUCUCUCAUUGAUAGCCAAACAAUUAAAAUUUUUGUAAAGCUUUUGUGGACUUUUGAUCGCGUAUGGUGCCAAUGUAUUGCGUGGUCCUAUUAUGGUUCCAAAUGGAGAAAGUUGCACAAGUUUUUUGAGUACCAGAAGAUCAGUAAUGUAAGCCUUGAUGGUUGUUAUGGUCUAAGAAAACAAGAGGCUAAAAAUUCUAUCUGGGAUUUUUAUAACAACAACAAAAUUGGCAAGCCCAUUGACAUUGGUGAAUUGUCAGUUUCAACCUUGGUAAGUGCGAUUCAGAACAUGCUGUGGGGUGAAACGCUUGAAAUAACAAAGAAAUGGAUUUACUAAUAUUGGGGCUGGGCUAAGAUUUAAGCUUGCAGAACUCACGGUGCUAGAGGGAACACCGAAUAUUUUGGAUAUCUUUCCAGUGCUUUCAUGGUUUAAUAUACAAGGUUUUCAGAGAAUAGCAAAGAAGAUUUCUCUAUGGUUUUAAAAUAUUAUCAAUUCUACUGCUGAACGCUAUAGAAACAACGUCUCUAUUGUCAAAAGUGAAGAAGCAGCAGCAGCAGGGAACAAUAUUGAAGGAAGGAAUAAGGACUUGGUGCAGUUACGCUUGGAGCUUCAAGGUAAAGAAGACAAUGCUUCAUCAAUUAGCAGGACGCAAUUUAAGAGCUUGCUCGUGGUAUGUUGCGCAACUAGCCACAGACAGUUACAGAAACUGAGUUUGGCAGAUUACGACCGUUUCUGGUGAUUACAUAAUUAUUUGUGGCUGUUUUUUUUUUUUAAUUGUAAUUUUCUUAACAGGAUAUAAUUUAGGGUGGAACCAACACCACAACUAUAAUGGUGGAAUGGACAAUGGCAUAAUUGAUACAGCAUCCACAAGUAAUAGAGAAUGUACAGGUAGAACUAAAUCGGGCCGUGGCCAUCGACAGCCAUGUUGAAGAAUUUCACCUAGCUAAGUUAAAAUAUUUAGAUGCUGUGGUGAAAGAAACAUUCUGCACUGUAAUAUAAUACAUGAAUCAUAUGUCCUCUAUUGUUUUUUUAUUUUUCUCUUUUUUUCAAUAGCUUAAUCUAUCAUUAAAAUCUUCUGAAAUUCUAAAUUAAUAUACAUUCAACCUAGAGUUCAAGCCAAAGUUUUAUUGAGCAUUAAAAAAAAAAAAAAUUCUACGACUCAAAAUUUUGUGGAGUAUAAAUUAAAAAUUAUGCGCCUACUAAGAGACAAAAAAUAAAUGAUACACAUUAACCAAUCAAAGGCGAACAAGAGAUUAUUAACAAUAACCUAAUAAUAAAAUUAUAAUGAAUAAAAAAGAAAUGGUACCUAGAAACACAUCACAGCCAUUUAAGCAAUCACUUACCCACAAAAUCCAAACAUAUAAACUAUGUGGGGGGGGGGGGGGGGGGGGGGGGUGUCAUGAUACCUUUGGGUUUCAUGAUAAUCAAAAUUGCAAUACCAUUAAAGACUCAAAAAUAAAAAAAAUCAUAGCCAAUAAAAGAGAAAAAAUAACCCACAAAAAAUCAUCAAGAAAAUAAAUUUGAGACUAAGAGAAGAUAUUAAUUAAACCCUGGGUUGCCUUGGAACCACGGCUUUGGCUUCCAUUUUUCAAUUCUUGGCGACAAGUCAUUUCUUGUUUGUUUACAAAGAUGACGGCUGAUUAAUGAAGCUCUAUUAACAAUGAAUAAAUAAAAAAACUGGCGCCUUGAAAAGACUAACGGUCAUAUUUUUCAACUCCGAAUUAGUGCCGUUUGAUGAGUCCUUGCCAAAACAAUCACUAGGCAAAUAACAAUCAUUUUUCAACCAGCAAAACUCAUUCAUUGUAUUUCACCUUAGUCAAGAUUUAAAAAUUGUUUCAAAAUAAACCUAGUGGUUAGAACCCAAGCGUCACAAUUGUGAGGUCAUGGGUUUGAGCCCCCACAACGUAUUGUGGGGGUUAAUUUUCUUCUUCAAUUUGAGUGAAAACAGUUCUCUCCCUUUCGAAAUGUGGGUGGAGUGGACGUCCCUCAAAUAUUAGAGAGGGUUCAAAUUUGGAUUGUACUAUAUAAGAUUUAUAAAUUAGUCCCAGUAAUUAUCUGAUUGUAAAUAUCAAUAUACUAAUCUAAUUAAAUAUGAGUUGUAAUAUGAGCGUUAGUCUCAUGUAAUUAAAAAAAAAAUGUUUCAAAAUAGGAUUCUUAAAAGGUUGGGGAAAUGGCCAUCAAUAUCCCCAACUUUCCAAAAAGAGACACCAAGACCCAUUUUGACCAUAAUACCCUUUACUUCUAUUAUCCCCAAAAAAUUGACUCUAAUGUUUUAUAAUAAAUAAAAAUAUAACAUUAAAAUAAAUGUAAUAGUAUAUACAUUUUAAAAUAGUUUCAAUAUCUAAAAACCAUUUUAAUAUUUUAAAUCCUAUUAUAUAUAUAUUAAAGUAAAUUUUAUAAUAAAUAGAAUCAUAAUAUUGAAAUAAAUGCAUUAAAAUUUAAAUUAUUUUUAAUAUUAUGUAAAAUAAUAAUUUUAUCAUUAUAAGUAUAUGAGAAUUUUUUUAAUUGUAGAAUGUAUUUAAUGCAAAUAUUUAUUUAAAAUCUCUACAAUAAAUAAAAAUAUACUAUUAAAACAAAUCUCUACAAUAUAUACAUACAUACAUAUACAUUGGCCUGGUAUUUUAUUUUUCAUUUUUUAAACUUAUUAAAUCCUCUAACUAUCAUUUGAUUAUUUUUUUCAAUGAUGAAGAGGCCAUUGCCGGAUAAAUUAUUAAAAUCAACUAGUUCUACAAGAAUGUCCCUUUUUAAAGGAAGAUGAUUCUCUCUCUCGAAAUUUUUUAUCUUGUGCUACAAACUAAAAACUUAUGCCAUUUCAUUAACCACAGAGAUCUUUGAGGAAAUGAUGCUUCGCCCCCCCCCCCCCCCCCCCCCCCCCCCCCCCCCCCCCGCGGCGCCAAAAAGUGUCCUUCCAUAUUUUGUGAAGGCUAAUACAUCGAUGAAUCUAGAUUUCUUUAAAUUUUUUGUUUUACUCAAUUCGAGAUAAUAAAUAGUUUAUCUUUAUUAAAUCUUUACUUUAACAAUGAUAGAUAUUCAAUCCAUGCAAAUAUCUAUCAUUGUAUGAGCUGAUUGCGUGGAGGGAGCGGUAAUUGAAAUCUAAUUGAAAACAGCAGAAGGCUGUUCUUGACAGAUCUCAAAUAUAUUACGGACACGUUGGGAGACAUCUCUAUCAUAGAUAUCCCCAUGCAGUGAUAUUUGUCGUGAUCUAAUUUUUAGUAAAUCUGUAAGAGAGAUUGUAACAUCUUUCAAGUUUUUUGGUUUGAUAUUCUAGACGAAAACGGUUUGUCGUUUCUUGAGCAAACGGCUAACCGUUUAAGUCCAGAGAGCAUGUUUGUUGUUCUGGAUAAAACGGCUCACCGUUGUUGCGAAAACGGCUAACCGUUUAACUCAAGAGAGCAUGUUUUAUGUUCUAGAGAAAACGGCUCACCGUUAUUGAGAAAACGGCUAACCGUUUAUUUACAGAGAGCAACGUAUUUGAUAUUCUGGAAUAAAAUGGCUCACCAUUUAUUGAGAAAACGGCUAACUGUUUAUUUCCAGAAAGGCGUCAAUUAGAAAAACGGUUAGCAAGAAUGAAAAUUUCAAUUGACAAUCGAUGCAAAUUCAAACCAAAAGAGUGUCUUCGAAAAAGUACCAUUUCUAAUGGUUGUAUUCUUUCAAAUAAACAUCUUCUUCAUUAAAGAAAUACACACAAUUAGAUUGAUAAUCAGAUUUUGACAGGUUUCUUAUAUGUUCUGGAAAUACAAUCUUAUUUGCUAGAGAUUGUAUUCAGGAUUUGUUAUAUCUUGGGGGUAAUUUGCCAUUAAAACUAUAUAGCAAACCAAGAUUGGUGAGGGCAAAUAAAACCUUAAAGGAAAGUAUGCAAACACGUCUCAAAUCCUAUGAAACUUUCUUUGUUCUUUGCCUCCAUAUUCUUAUUAUUCACUAACAAAAUCCCCAUGCAGUGAUAUUUGUCGUGAUCUAAUUAUUAGAAAAAUCUAUGAUUUCGCUACUGUAAUAAAAUUUGUCACUACUCUACAUUAAUCUAAAUGUCUGAUGAGAUUUGUAAUUGCUUCCGACGGGAAAACAGUUAAUAGGUUGAUUGAAUGUAUGUGGUAAAGAUUCCACGUAUCUCACGACAGAAUGCUGACCACUGGAACCCUAUCUACUUUUACGCGAUUAAUUCACGAGCUUAGGCACGACAAUUGCAAUACAAAUUAUCCCUUCAUCAUAUAUUUCGUUAAAAUUCAUUCUGAAGCACUAAAACUAAACAAUCGAAUAUGGCUUUGAGGGUCGAUGAUGCCAGCAGCAAUGAGAGUGCAAUUAUCACUUGUUUAGUUUCUGUGCUUGCCGUGGCUUAUUUAGCAUGGAAUGUGAAAAAAUCAAGGAAAGCAAAUGCUAAACUGCCACCAGGACCUCGCGGCUUGCCUGUAGUCGGAUACCUCCCAUUUCUCGGGACUACUGACUUGCACAAGAAAUUCACGGAAUUUAUUUUACUAUUAUAUUUAUAUUCAAAAUAAUUUUAAUUAGCUUUUAAAAUGAAUGAUUUUAGGAAAUUAUAAAUAAAGGUAACUAAGAAUUCUCUUAAUGUAAUAUAUUAUUAAUUAGUUUAAAAAUACAAAUUUAUUAAUUAGAGAAAUUAUUAGUGAAUUUAAAUUAAUGAUCUUAAUGAUUUGUUUGUACGAUUGCCCCCAAUCAAAGGUAAUUUUCCUAAAAAUUAUUAGGAAAUUAGAGAAAUUUAAUUUUUUUAGUGGGUUCAAUUGCCCACACACCCCGACUGAAGCAUUUUUUACAAUAUGUACUCCGUUUGUCGGCAGGAAAAUAAAGGUCUUGACACAUGAUCACUUCACUCCUUUAUUUACUUUGCUAACGCAGAUUUUGAGGUAUUAAAACAAAUAAUAAUUGAAUAUGACUUUGUGGGUCGACGACGCCAGCAACGAGGAGACCGCCAAUUAUCACAUUUUAAGUUUGCUGUAAUUGCCGUUGUUUUAUAUUAGUAGAAUAUUAGUGAUAAGAUAAUUGUAGAGUUUUCAUUUUUUUAAUAUUAAAAUCAAGUCAAUUUAUUAUAAUAAAUUUAGUUGAAUUUAAUCGUAUUACCACAUAAAUUGAAUAAUAAUAGAAUUCUCGACAAUAUUUCAAUAUUUUAAUCUCAAGCAUUGGAGUGGCAUUUAUUUGUUAUACGGUCGAUUUUAGAAUUUAUAAAAUUAUUCGUUGCUGAAUUGCACCAUAUGCUGCAUAACCUGAAACUUAAUAAACGGAACGUAGCGUUGGCACCGUUACUCAACAUUCACUGUUACGACUUUGUGACAUUAGAAUUAAAAUCUUUUCCACAUUUAAUUUGUUUACUUCCAACUUAAUAUUUAACAAAAUGUAUGUUAGCAUUGUAUGCCAUAUCAUCUGUAAUUUUGUCAGGAUCGAUCAUUCUAAUUUUUAAGCAGAACUUUUUGUCAAUGGACAAACACCUCAUACAGCUUGUCAGAGGCAUUAGUAUGAUGUAAAAUUGUAAUGGUAUAUCUUGAAUUAUUUUAGAAUAGUGAAUAACUAUUUGGAGCAAUAAAAACAAAUAAGACAGAUGAGAAAAUGGCUAAAAUUAUAUAAGUGACCCAAAAUUUUUUGCUAUUUCCAAGAAAUCCCCAAUCUGAAUGGACCAGAGGGAGGCAAGUUAGAAAUACAUUUCCUUCAUAGACAAUAACAACGAUGAGUGGAUGACAUCAAACCACGUUGGUAUCAAUAUUGAAAUAAAGGUGCAAUUAUUCAGCCAAUGAGCCUUAGUACACAUCAAGAUAUAUAAAAGUCAAGAAAAUGAAAAUUUAUCCCAAUUAAAACUCUUUCUGGCUGCAUUUAGCUGUUUCUGUUUAGGGAUGGCAAUUUAAUCCGGACCCAGCCCGACCCGGAUGAAUCCAGAAAAUUCGGGGUGGAUUCAACCCGUACCGGAGUGAAUAAAAUCUGAUAUUCAAAUUCAAUAUUUUCAACCCGGACGUUUCCGAGUCCGGAUCCGGAUUUGGGUAAACCCGCAUAUCCGGAACCCGGAUCCGGAUAACUAUUUUAAUAUUAAUUUUUAAAUCAUUUUAAAAUAAAAAAAAAUUAGAAAAAAUCAGCCCUAAUGCCCUUCCACAGCCACGGCAGCCAAACCAAACCCAGACAUUUCCUCUCUCUCUCUUUAGCCCUUCUUUUCAACAAAUCAUCAUCGUUGCUCAUCAUCGUUUCGUCGUGUUCAUCUUCAUCUUCAUCAUCAGCUGCCGUUUGUCCAGCUAUGUCACUAGUUUUGGCCGCCGUUUCCGUUUGUGCACCUUCGCAAAUCGGGAUCUCGAUUUGGCCGCCAACACUUCUACCCCCUGGUGUUUUGCUUUGUCCUCGACAACUUCUUUGUUGAUAAAUUGACGGGCACUUAUGAAUGCAUUUGUCUCUGUUUCUUCAUUUACACCUUCCCAGUUGUUUGUUCAUUUGCUUUUUGGAAGGAAAAAAAAAAAAAAUCAGCCACCAUUUAUCCUUCCCCUUUUCUUGACCUAACCCCACAAAGCCCAAUUUGUCAUCAUCAUUCAUUGGCAAAUUUGUUAUCAUCAUGGUUGAGACAUCAUGAUUAUCUUUGAUAAUUGAAUUUGUGUAAUAUGUUACCUUGGAUUUUAUUUCUAAGUAUUUGAUUUUGAAUUAUUUUCCAUUAUUGGUGUUAAUAGAUAGAAGAUUAGAAAGGAAUUCUUCACUGAAUAAAGAGAUGGGAAAUUGCAUCUUUUAGCAAUCAUCCGGGUUAUAAACCCGGAAUCCGGAAACCAGGAUUUUUCCGGGUUUAACCCAGUCCGGACCCGAAUGAAAAAUAUCCGGGUUUACAUCCGGGUCUGGUAUUAAAAUUUAUCGUCCGGAUCCGGAACAGGGAAGACAAAACCCGGACCCGAACCCACAUUUUGCCAUCCCUAUUUCCAUUUGAAGUUAACAACAACGUUUCUUUCGUUUUGUGGGCGACUUGACUGAGCCAGCUGGAUUCUAGUGCUAGUAUGUGAAAAUAGAAGGCUAAUGAUUUCACGUUCACUAGCCCACCUCCCCUCCUCUCGUUUCCUCUGAAUCAAUUUUCACGUGUGGUACCGAUUGAAAAUAUCUCUGACAUUUCGUGGACAUCUCUAUUGAAAAUAUCUCAGACAUUUCACUCAGGCAAACUUAUUAAUAUAAAAAAUCUAUGAUUUUUUCGUCUUAUACUGUAGAAAAAUUUGUCUAUACAUUAAUCUAGAUGUUUGAGGUGGUUUAUACAUCUGUGGUAUAGAUUUAUAGGUUGAUUGAUACGUCUGUGGUAUAGAUUUUAUGUAUUUCAUUAUCAAAUGCUGGCCUUUGGGACCCUAUCUACAUCUAUUUAUAAAACUAACGGGUGCCAGUUAUGCCAUUACAAAUUAUCCCCUCUUCAUACAUUUCCUUAAAAUUCUUCUGAAACACCAAAACUAAAUAAUCGAAUAUGGCUUUGCGGGUCGAUGAUGCCAGCAACAAUGAGGCUGCAAUUAUCACUUGUUUAGUUUCUAUGCUUGCCGUGGUUUAUUUCGUAUGGAAUGUGAACAAAUCAAGGAAAGCAAAUGCUAAACUGCCACCAGGACCUCGCGGUUUGCCUGUAGUCGGAUACCUCCCAUUUCUCGGAACUACUGACUUGCACAAGAAAUUCACGGAAUUAUCCGGAGUUUAUGGUCCGAUCUUCAAGCUCUGGCUCGGAAAUAAAUUAAGUGUCGUGGUGAGCUCACCUUCCCUAGUUAAACAAGUGGUUCGUGAUCAAGAUACAACAUUCGCAGACCGUGACCCGCCGAUCUCAGGACUAGUGACCUCCUUUGGUGGCAAUGAUAUUACAUGGUCCAAUUACGGUCCCGAAUGGAGAAAGUUGCGCAAAUUUUUUGUGGGCAAGAUGAUGAGUAACGCAAGCCUUGAUGCUUGUUAUGCUUUAAGAAAACAUGAGGUUAAAAAUACUAUCAGGGAUUUGUAUAACAACGGCAACAAAAUUGGUAAGCCCAUUGACAUUGGUGAAUUGUCGAUUUCAACAUUGGUAUGUGCUAUGCAGAACAUGCUGUGGGGUGAAGCGCUUGAAUUAAAAGAGAAAGGGACAACUAAUCUUGGGGUUGAGCUAAAAUUUAAGUUUGCAGAACUCAUGGUGCUACUGGGAACACCGAAUAUUUCGGAUAUCUUUCCAAUGCUUUCUUGGCUCGACAUACAAGGUAUAGAGAGGAGAGCAAAGAAGAUUUCACUCUGGUUUGAAAAAAUUAUAAAUUCUACUGUUGAAAAGUAUAGAAGCAAGGACUUUAAUGUUGAAGGUAAAGAAAGAGCAGGGGAAAAUUUUGAAGGAUCAAGGAACAAGAACUUCUUGCAGUUACUAUUGGAGCUUCAAGAAAAUGAAGACGGUUCUUCCUCAAUUAGCAUGAACCAAUUUAAGGCCGUACUCGUGGUAUGUUAAGAAACUAGCCGCAAACAGUUAUACAAGCACAGCUGUAUAUUUUGCAUGAGUGAUAUUUUCAACCUUUUUUUUUUAUAAUUAGAAUUUUAUUGUAACCUUUUGGACAGGAUAUAAUUACGGCUGGAACCGACACCACAACUACGAUGGUGGAAUGGACAAUGGCAGAGUUGAUGCAGCAUCCACAAAUAAUGAAGAAAGUUCAGGAAGAAUUAGCUCAAGUUGUGGGCAUGGACAGUUGUGUUGAAGAAUUUCAUUUGCCUAAAUUGAAAUAUUUAGAUGCUGUGGUGAAAGAAUCGUCUCGUCUGCAUCCUGCAGUGCCUUUAUUACUACCACGCAGAGCAAGCGAGAGUGGCAGCAUUGGUGGCUAUAACAUUCCCAAAGAUACAACUAUUAUGUUGAAUGUUUGGGCAAUCCACAGGGACCCUAAACUUUGGGAUAAUCCCUUAGAAUUUCGACCCGAGAGGUUUCUAGAUGAUGGUAUCGCGAGUAAGUUCGAUUACUCAGGUAACAAUUUUCAGUACUUGCCAUUUGGUUCUGGUAGAAGGAUGUGUGCUGGGAUUCCUCUAGCUGAGAGGAUGCUGAUGUUUGUUUUGGCUUCGUUAUUGCACUCAUUUGAGUGGGAAUUGCCAGCUGGCACAAAGCUAAACUUAUCUGAAAAAUUUGGGAUUGUCAUUAAGAAAAAAGAGCCUUUAGUUGCUAUUCCAACACCAAGACUAUCCAAUUCAGAGCUCUACCAUUAAGACAGAAUGGUUGUGAUGAUUUUGUUAAUUUCCGAAGAUUUGUAUGUUAUGUCAAGUUCAAUCGUAAUAAAAUAUUUCAAAUAAGAGUCCUCCGUUGCUUUUUUUUUUUUUUUCAACCGCAUAAUCUGUCGUCAUGCUUGUAUUUGGGGCUACUUUGGAAUAAUUAUGUUUGAAUUACAAUAUAUAAAUAUUACAUUUUAAAAUUUUAUGAGAUUCUAAAUUUAUACACGUUCAAUAACCCACUUCAUAUAUGUUUAACACAAUUUAUAUCAUACAUUGUAUACCCAUUUGUCAUAAAUUACGCUAUUUUAUAUCUCUAAAUAAUAUUACAUAUUGAUAUUAUAAAAUGUUGUUAACUCACGUGUGUAUAUAUAUAUAGCAAGUCACGUGCAUAUAUUAUUGGUUGUUAUAUGUUUGCUAGUUUGAUAGGAUUUCCUUUCCUUGUGAACUAGGGUAAUUCUUAUGUACAUAUAAAUAUUGAUCAAUAAGAGUGCAGAUGAUGACUGCAGUUUUGCAUCGUAGAAAUUCUUCGUAAAAUAUAUAUGUUUAUCAAAAGGCUAUACCAUUCAAUAUAUAUUGGAAAGAGAACAAAGAAGAUCUUCUUAUGGUUUGAAAAUAUUAUGAAUUCUGCUGUUGAACAGUAUGGAAACAAGGUCUGUUGUUAAAGGUGAAGAAGUCACAGGGAACAAUAUUGAAGGAAGAAAUUUCACGUUUAGUUGCUGAAUUUGCCGCUGUAUUCUAUCGGUAGUAAAAAGAUUAGAGUUUUUAUUUUUCUCUAUUAAUGUUAAGUCAAUUUUCUAUAACAAAUUCGGUUGAGUUUAAUUGUGUUACAAUAUAAAUUGAAUGAUAGUAGAAUUUUCAACGAAUAAUUCAAUAUUUCUAUCUCGAUUGUUGAAGUGCCAUUUAUUUGUUAUACGAUCGAUUUUAAAAUUUAUAAAAUUAUUUGUUACUAAAUUGCAUCAUAUGCUAAAUCACCUGAAACCUAAUUUCAUAACUAACCCUUUAUUUUUAGUUCUCAAGAAAUCUUGUAAGAACAAAAUUCUUUUGUAACAAAACGUUUACAACAAAUUAAUUUGUAACUCAUUCCUGUGCGAGAAUCACUCUCAAUUUCCUUCAAUUGCUGUUUAACAAUCAUCUGCUUAUCAAAAUUCAAGCAUAAUCUUUUUUUUUAAUUUCUUCAUCAUUCUUUUGAAAAAAAAAAUCAGGAUAUGCUGUUAAAUUUUGAAAUAAAUUAUCUCAAAAUAAUUACUAACCAGAAAAAACAAAGGGGUUUAACUAGGUUAUGCAUACCUUUGAAAAUUAUAUGUUGAUCGAUAAGAAUGAUGAUCACGAUUGACGAGUUUAAUUAAAAUAUAUAAGAUUUUAAAAUUAAUCAGGGUUAAAUUGUGAAUUUUAGAAAGAGAGGUUUUGUGAGAAUGUUGAAAGGGUGUUAAUAGUUCCACUCUUUUUAAAAACAACCAUAGUCAUCAUUUUUCCAUGGUUGUUUUUAAAAAGAGUAUUUCUUCUUCCCAUCUCCAUCUUAUUUAGAAAUUUCCCAGAGCCUUUGUUUCCCACCUUUCAUUUUUCUUCUUUCUAAUUUAAUAAUCCACCCUUCUUGUAUUCAAACUAAAAAAUUAAAAUCUGAAAAUUUAAAACCCAAUAUUAUAGUAUUAUAAAAAUAAUUACUCACAUUUUAUCAAACACCUCCAUUCUUCCAAGGCCUUGUUUUAGUAGUAGGCUUUUAUUAUCUCAAUAAAAUUGAAAAAAAAAAUCUCAAUAAUAUUGGAAAAAAACCCUACCCAUAUUUGUAACUUUAAUUUAUUAUUCUCCAUAGACCUACUUUUUAGUUUUGAAUUUUGUUGGAGCCAUAUAUAAACAGAAUAUGUUGAAAUCAGCACCCAAAAAAAAAAAAACUAAUUAUAUAAUUUAUGUUCCCAAGGACAUGGCUGAGUGAUUUUCAAGAAGUUUUGUUUGGCUGGCCACUUAGGUUUAAAUCUUGGUGGAGAUUAAGGGUUAAGAAAUAAAUUUAGACUUUGCACACCCCUUUAACUUUUAAAAAGAAAUGAAAAAAUUAAUUAAUUAAUCUUUAUUUUAUUUAUUAAAUGUCAUAAUCCUAUGCGUAUUUUAUUUGUUAUCUUUCUAUUUAAAAGACGAGGGCAGAUAAAACUGAAAUAAAUUUUUAGCCCUAUCUCCAUAUUUCAAGUUCCAUAGUUAGGUGACCAGCUAAAAAAAAUUAAUUGAAAGCUACUCCAUCAAAUUAAAAAAAUUUAUUUAUUUAAUUUGUGGAGAUGUAGAAAAUCAAACCCCAUACCUUUUCGCAUACACUGAACAUAUUUUAAUACAUGACUAUCAUCCUUUAUCCUAAAUACUACUAUAACUAAUAACAUACAAUUGAAAUAAUUAAUGUUAACACUUGGCUAUAAAUAAAGGUUUUGUGCUUGAAUCUUCACGCAUGACCUUCAUUCCUUUAUUGACUUUGCUAACACAGAUUUUGAGGCAUUAAAACUAAAUAAUAAUUGACUUUGUGGGCCGAGGAUGCCAGCAACAAGGAGACCACAAUUAUCACUUAAGUUACUCUAAUUGCCGUUGUCUUAUAUUCAUAGAAUAUUAGUAAUAAGAUUAUUGCAGAAUUUUUUUAAUAUUAAAAUUAAGUCAAUUUGUUAUAACAAAUUUAGUUGAGUUUAAUCGUGUUACUACAUAAAUUGAAUAAUAAUAGAAUUCUCGACAAAUAUUUCAAUAUUUUUAUCCCAAGCGUUGGAGUGGCAUUUAUUUGUUAUACGAUCGAUUUUAGAACUUAUAAAAUUAUUCGUUACUGAAUUGCACCAUAUGCUGCAUGACCUGAAACUUAAUAAACGGAAUGUAGCGUUGGCACCGUUACUCAACAUACUGUUACGACUUUGUGACAUUAGAAUUAAAAUCUUUUGCACAUUUAAUUUGUUUACUUCAAAAUUAAUAUUUAACAAAAUAUUUUUUUCACAUUAUCAAUGGACAAAACUCCAACGAAAAUAACUACACAAGAAAAAUGUAUGCUAGUAUUGUGUGCCAUAUCAUCUGUAAUUUUGUCAGGAUCGAACACUCUAAUUUUUAAGCAGAACUUUUUAUCAAUGGACAAACACCUCACACAGCUUGUCAGAGGCAUUAUUAUGAUAGAAAACUGUAAUGGUAUAUCUUGAAUUAUUGGUAGAAUAGUUCUUUGGAGCAAUAAAAAUAGAUAAGACAGAUGAGAAAAUUGUCAAUACCCCACCGCAAAAGCAAAAGAAAAAAAGGAAAGGAGACAAAAGAGGAAGAAGAAAAAAAGGAAAGGAGACAAAAGAGGAAGAAGAAAAAGAAAAAAGAACGAAGAAAAAAAUGGUGCCGCGCUGUAUUGGGAAGAAGAAAAAAAUUAAUAAAAUAAUAAUAAAUAAUAAAUAAUAAAUAAUAAAAUAAUAGUGCACAACAAUCAUUUGAUUGCUAUAAAUAAAGGGGCAUUUUCCUCAUUUUAUUCAUCGAAUUCUUCAGUUCCUUUCAAGCGAUUUAAGAGUCUAGUGAUUUGAGAGUUUGGGAGUAUUGUGAUUUUGAGUACUAAGUUAAAAUACUAUAAUACUUGUAACUCAUUUUCACUAGUAAAAUAUUUUUCUUCUGUCUUCGCCCGUAGACGUAGGCUAAAAGCUGAACCACGUAAUUUCUGGUGUCCCUAUGUGAUUAUGUGUCUCAUUAUUUCUCAAUUUUACUUUAGUUACGUGUCUGCUACACCCUUCAAUUUACUAACAAAAAUGGCCAAAAUUAUAUAAGUGACCCAAAUUUUUUUGCUAUUUCCAAGAAAUCCCCAAUCGGAAUAGACCAAACUAGAGGGAGGCAAGUUAGAAAUACGUUUCCUUCAUAAACAAUAACAGCGAUGAGUCGAUGACAUCGAGCCACGUCGGUAUCAAUAUUGAAUUAAAGGUGCAAUUAUUCAGCCAAUGAGCCUUACACAUCAAGAUAAAAGUCAAGAAAAUGAAAAAUUUAUCCUAAUUAAAACACUUUCUGGCUGCAUUUAGCUGUUUCUAUUUGAAGUUAAAAACAACAUUUCUUUCGUUUUGUGGGCAACUCGACUGAGUUCGCUGGCUUCUAGUGCUAGUAUGUGAAAAUAGAAGGCUAAUGAUUUAUUUGUUAUCUUUUGACAAAAAAUGUUAAAGAUAUAAUAGAUUUUCCAUGAUACAAAUGAAAAAUUAUAUCAACAUAACUUCCAAGCUACAGCAGCUAGUGUUUACCAAACACUUUGCUGUAGCUUUUAAGCUACAGCUGCCCAACCUCAAUAGGUUGAUUGAAUUUGUGGGAUAUAGAUUCCACAUAUCUCAUGACCUAUUAAUUAUACAAGUGGUUCUUGAUCAAGAACAACAUUUGCUUCCGACCCAGUAACCCAGCAACUGCUGCACUGGUCGCCACCUAUGGUGCCGACGAUAUUGCAUGGUCCAAUUAUGGCCUUGAAUGGAAAAAGUUGAGCAAAUUAUUUGUGGGCACGAUGAUAAGUAACGCAAGCCUUGAUGCUAGUUAUGGUCGAAGAAAACAAGAGGUUAAGAAUACUAUCAGAGAUAUGCAUAACAACAAAAAGGAAAAAAAAAAAAAAAGGCAUUGGCAAGUCAAUUGAUAUUGCUGAAUUGUCGAUUUCAACUUUGGCAUGUGUAAUUCAGACAUUGCGCGUUGUGGUAUGGCGCUGGCACGCUUGCAUUGCCGAGAGGACAAAUCUUGGGGCUGGGCUAAAAUUUAGGCUUGUAGAACUCAUGGUGCUAAUGGGAACGCCAAAUUUUUUUAACAUAUUUCGGUGCUUUCAUGGUUUAAUUCAAGGUAUAGAAAGGAGUGUUGAGAAUGUCAAAUAAAACGACAUUGAAUGGAAGUUGUCAAAGACAUGAUCCGCACUGAACGGCAAUGACACGGUUGGUAAAGAUUUUUUCAUAAUAUGCGUAUCUAAUUUUUGAAAAAUUGUAACCUCUGCUUCUAUAAAUAUGCUCAAUGUAUAAUGUUUUACUUAAGAAAUGAAAAACUUAAUUCUUUAUGGUAUCAGAGCGAGGCUCGUUGCUCUGUUUGUAACAAAAACAAAGAAAACUAAAUUCUUCCCACAACUAUUUUUCCACCUUUUUUUCUUCCUUAAAAGCAUUCCUAGCAUUACAGAAACCCAUGCCAAUAAAAGAACAAGCCACACAUAUGUAAAAACUUUAGUUUACAAAUCUAUCAACAUCCCCAUAAAUUUUCCCAAAAAGUGAUCUUCAAAAACCAAAAAUACCAUCAAUUUUCGCAUCUUCUAGUAAACAAACUAUAAAAGUUUCGCACUCAAACAGAGCCACACGCGCCUCCACGCGCUUCCCGGAAUCACGGCCAACCACCACGCGCCUCUGUCACCACCAACUCACCCUCAUGCGCUCCAGAUGUUGCAGAAGACGCAAAACGACGUGUCGUUUUCUUCUCUAAAAGUGCAGCAACGUGGAAAUGACUUUUUGUUUUUGCCUUAAAUUGUUUUUCCUCGUUUGAAGCUAUACAACAUUUUUCUUUCUAAACCUGUUUUUUACAAUAAAAAAAGAAAAAAAUGGAGAAAACUCCAACUGAAUCUACUCAUGUUGUCAUUCAAUCUGUUCAACCUGAUGGAGUAUUUAAUGCCGAAAUUAUCCUUACUAAGACAAACUACGAUAUUUGAUCUCAAAUAAUGGAGAUGCAUCUCGCAGAAAGAAAAAAACUCCCAUAUAUUCGUAGCAGCAUAAAUCCAUCUGACAAAUUUUCAAAGAAAUAUGAGAAAUGGUAUAGUGAGAACCAAAAAGUAAAAAGAUGGUUACUCAUAACCAUGUGUCCUGAGAUCAUGAAGCGAUAGUUACAAAUUCCUACAGCCUACGAAAUUUAGAAUGCAUUAUCAAAAGCCUUUUAUAAUGGAAGCGAUGAAAUACAAGUUUUCACUCUAAAUCAGAAGGCGUUCUCUACGAAGCAAAAUGGACAACCACUCUCUAAAUUCUACGGAGAAUUGAUCAAAAUGUUUCAAGAACUUAAUCACCGAGAUAAAGUGGUCAUGAAGGAUCCAGAAGAUGUUAUAAUAUAUAGGAAGUUUGUUGGAAGAUUGAGAGUGCACAUUUUUCUUGCUGGACUAGAUGAAGAAUUUGACCAAGUUUGUGGAGAAAUUCUACGAAAAGAUACUAUCCUAGACUUAAAAGAAUGUUAUUCUCUAAUCCGAAAAGAAGAUGUACGGCAAAGCAAACUAACAAGAAGGUGGACGACUCAGAAACGUCUGCUAUGAUACCACAAGAGAACAAUGUUUUGAAAUUGUUCGAUAUCCUGACUGGUGGGAUACUCGAAGUAAUAACACAAAGCAGAGAUAAAAAACUGCAGUAGCUGAAUCCACAUCCACUACAGAUCUUAGAAAAGAAUCUUCAGCGCAAAUUGCAACCUCUGUCAAUUCAGGUAAGGUCAUUAAAACUCUUACAUUUGUUAUUAAUAGUAUAUGGAUAAUUGAUUAUGGUGCAACUGAUCAUAUGACUUUUGAUUCUUGACAAGUUUCUUAAUUGAAACCAUCUUCACAUAAACAUGUUUCUACUGUAAAUAGAACCACAACCUCAGUUAUUGGGGAAGGAUCUUUACAACUCACAAUUAAAUCAAAUUUAGACUUUGUGUUAAUUGUUCCAUCUUUAAAUUAUAAUCUUUUAUAUGUGUCUCAAAUAACCUCUUACUUAUCAUGUGUUGUAAUGUUUUGGCCCGAUCAUUGCAUGUUUAAGGACAUCCAAAUGAAGGAAACGAUUGGUUAUGAUAUUAAAUAAGGCAACUUGUAUUACCUGGAGAUGACAUCAACAAACACUGAAAAGCUAAGCCCCGCAUUAGUAGCAGACAAUUCCAUGAAAAAAAAGGAAAUAAGAAAUUUGGUUAUGGCAUAGACGAUUAGGGCAUGUGUCAUUUGAUUUCUUAAAAAAAUUGUUUCCUAGUUUGUUUCUGAAAUUUGAUAUUUGUAACUUUAAAUAUGAUGUUUGUGAACUUUCAAAUAGCCAUCGAACUACUUUUCCAUUGUCCUUAAAUAAGAAUCCAAUUCCUUUAAUGGUAGUACAUUCUGAUGUAUAGAGACCAUCUAAAGUUUCUACCAUUGGAAGAGCUCGUUGGUUUGUUACAUUUAUUGAUGAUUGUAGCAGAAUGACAUGGAUUUUUUUAUGAAAUUAAAAUCAUAUGAUGGUGACAACUCUAUUUCAGACACAAAUUUGAGUUCUACAUACUGAUAAUGGAGGCGAGUAUAUGAGCACAACAAUUCAACAGUUUUUGAAAUCACAAUGAACUCACCACCAAACCACUUGUGUGGGGACACUCCAACAAAAUGGCGUUGCUAAACAAAAAAAUAGACAUUUACUAGAAGUUGUUCAAGCAUCACUAAUUUAGGCCCGCAUGCCACUAUUUUAUUGGGGAGAAGCAUUGGCAUCCGUAGCAUACUUGAUCAAUCGGACACCUUCAAUCUUCCUUGGAUUCCAAACUUAUUUUCUAGUUCUAAAUGAAGAAUUAUGUCAUCAAAUGUGUCGAAUUUACCCCCACAUAUGUUUGGUUGUGUUGCCUUCGUUCAUUUGCCAUGACAAGAUAAAUUAUCUCCUCGAGCACUACGUUGUGUGUUUGUAGGGUAUGCCUUACAUCAAAAGGGGUACCGAUGCUAUCAUCCUCUAUUAAGAAAAAAUAUACAUCACCAUGGACAUAAUCUUUCAUGAAGAUAUCAUGUAGUACCCAUCGGAGCUUGAAUUUCAGAGGGAGUAUAAUGAAGAGGAAAUUCAUACUCUUACAUAUCUUUCACCUGAAGAAGAUCAAUCCUCCAUUGAGGUAGUAAACGUUCAAGAUACUGGAAAAGAAAACGACAAUGAUUCUCAGGCUGAGACAAGUGAAGACACAUUUAGGGAGCAAAAUAACUCAGACAUAACCACAAUCGAGAACGAGUCCAUGAAGAGCCACAUGAAGAAAUAUCUAACCAAUCAUCUGCAGAGGAUGAUCCUACCACAAAUCCCAGUCUAAUCAGAAGAAUACUUCCCCAGCAUCAAAAUAGAGGUAUCUCUAAACCCACAUAUAAGACUGACCUCUCUAGUAGAGUCAAAUACCCUAUGAGUCAUUUUGUAUCUAACCAUGGCUUAUCAAAAUCAAAUCAGUCAUUUGUGAAUCAAUUAUCUACUGUGUCUAUUCCUAACAGUGUGCAAUAAGCCUUAAAAUAUCGAAAGUGGAAAGGGCUAUGAAUGACGAAAUGAGAUCUCUUUAAAAAAAAUCAAACAUGGGAACUAAUUGAUCUUCCACCAGGAAAGAAACCAGUGGGUUGCCGAUGGAACUAGUUGAUCAUCCACCUCCAUUCUGACAAGCAAUGUUUAUCAGCAAUAACAAAUGACUGAAGCAUUUUAAUGAGGUUAGUAACGAAAAAGAGUUUAAUUAGAGAAUAUUAUAAGAGAAAUUCUAAUUUUUGAUUUUUAAUAAAUUAAAAUAUCUUAAAAUAUUAUUAGUUGGUGGUGGUUUCAUGUCAGAUUAAGACGUGACACCUUACUAAUGAGGUCGAGACAAUUAGCUUAAAUUAUUUCAAUGCAUUUGAAAUUUCCACUAAUGACUAUAAUUCUUUGUCCUAAUUACUAUGAUAAUUAAUAACAUACAAUUGAAAUAGUUAAUAUUAGCACUUGGCAAUAAAUAAUUAAAUUUCAUUAACACUAAAUAAUAAUUGAAUAUGGCUUUGUACAUCGAUGACGCCAGCAACAAGGGGACCGCGAUUAUCACUCUUUAAGUUGCUUUUAAAAUUGAUUUUAGUAGUGAUAUGAUUAUUGUAGUGUUUUUAUUUUUUAUAUUAAAAUUAAGUGAUUUGUUAUAAUAAACUUAGUUGAGUUUAAUGGUAUUACUACAUAAAUUGAAUAGUUAUCAAAUAUUUUAAUAUUUUUAUGGCAAGCGUUGACGUGGCAUUUAUUUGUUGUAUGAUGGAUUUUAAAAUUUAUAAAAUUAUUUGUUAUUAAAUUACCCCCAGAUGCUACAUCACCUGAAACUUAAUAAAGGUAUGAAGACAUGUGUGUGUGGACUGAAAUGAAGAAUAUGGAAAAGUUGAGAGCUGUUGUGCAGAUUGAGUUCAGUUGAUGGGGUCUAUUAGAUAUUGUCUGCUGACGUGGCAUGAAUUCGUUAUAAUCUGUUAUAACGAGUUCAGUAUAUCAGUAUACAAUAGAGCUGAUGGAUGGUGCCUGUUUUAGAGUCUUUUUUAUAUUCAUUUGUUCAUCAUUUUGCGCAAGAUCUGUUCCAUUGUGAUAUGUGUAAAGUCUUAUGUAAACCCACUUAUGAUUGGAUUAGUUCUUGAUUAAUAACAACGAGUAAAUUUUCCUUCAAGUGUGCUGGUCUGUGCCCCUGUUUUUUGUUCUGAUAUUGUUUCUUUGUUCUGGCAUUUCAUUUCGAUUGUGUUCUUGGUGUUUCUACUCAUCAAGAUUUAUGAGUCUUGUUGAGAUUAAAGACUUAAUAGUCUUAACAAGUGGUAUCAGAGCCUGGUGAAUCUCAGCCAUGUCUCUUUCGAAGCAUGAAAUUGAAAAAUUCACCAUUGGUGGUGAUUUCUCGCUUUCGAAAUUAAAAAUGAGGGCUCUCCUUGUGCAUUAGAGGCUUGAAUUUGCUCUGGAAAAAGAUAAUCUAGAGGCUGCUACAAGUUAUGUGACUGAUGAUAAGAAGAGACAAAUCCAAAACCGAGCUCGUAGCACUCUAGUUUUGAGUCUUGGUGACUCAAUCUUGAGAAAGAUUUCUGAAGAGAAGACAACCUUAGGGAUUUGGAACAAGGUAGAAGCUUUGUGUACAAAGAAGUCGCUAGCUCACAGACUAUUCUUGAAGAAAAAGUUAUACACAUUCUCGAUGAGAGAAGGAGUCACAAUUCAAGAUCACAUUGAUACCUUCAACAAGAUCAUUCUUGAUCUUGAAGGGGUGGAAAAUGUGACAAUAAGUGAUGAAGAUAAAGCCUUCUUCUUGUUGAGUUCCUUACCAAAGUCUUAUGAAGGCUUUGUAGAUACAAUGCUUUAUGGCAGAACAACAUUGACUCUUGAAGAUGUUAAAGCAUCUCUAAGUUCAAAAGAGAUUCAGAAGAACAAUGAGAUUGAAACAAAUAAUGGUGAUGGGCUGAUUGCCAGAUCAGAAAAGAAGAAAGAUCAGAAGAAUAAAAAUCAGGGAAAAUGACAUGGAAAGAAUUAAGAAAAUGCAGACAAGAAGAAAAAGAAGAGAAAAUGCUUCUACUGCCGGAAGGAAGGGCAUUACAUCAGGGAUUGUCUUAAAAAGAAAAAAAAAGAAAGUCAAGAGAAGUCAGGGGAUGCAGCUGUAGCCUCUGAUGAUGCCUCUGAUGGAUAUCACAUUGCUGAUUUACUUGUGGCCUCAAAUAGCAAUACUAAAGGUCAGUGGGUCAUAGACUCUGAGUGCUCUUUUCACUUGUGGCCUGAUAAAACCAUAUUUUACAAAUAUGAAGUUGUUGAUGGUGGUAGAGUCUUAAUGGGAAAUAAUAAUGUGUGUAAUCUUGUUGGUAUUGGUUCUGUGAAGAUCAAGAUGUUUGAUGGAACUGUAAGAGCUCUACAUGAGGUGAGGCAUGCUCCUAGGCUAAAGAGAAAUCUAAUCUCUUUAGGCAUGCUAGACAGCUUAGGGUAUUUCUUUAAAUCAGAAAGUGGUGGUUUAGAGAUAAGAAAGGGGACUGAGAUAGUGAUGAAGGGGGUUAAAGAAAAUGGCUUAUAUGUAUUGUAAGGCUCAUCAGUGCUUCUUCAAAAGGGAAUUUCUGCUCUUUUUGAGGAAGAUAUAACCAAGUUAUGACAUCUUAGACUUGGUCAUAUGAGUGUCAAAGGGAUGUAAGAGCUCAGCAAACAAGGGCUACUUGGUGGGGAUAGAAUCCAGCAACUGGAAUUAUGUGAAAAUUGCAUUUUUGGCAAAGCUCACAGGUCCAAGUUUCACAAGGGGGAGCAUAUGUCUAAGCAAGUUUUGGACUAUGCACAUGCUGACCUUUGGGGGCCUGCUCAAGUCCCAUCCUUGAGUGGUGGCAGGUAUUUCAUAUCACUAAUUGAUGAUUACUCAAGGAAGAUGUGGGUCUACAUACUCAAGACCAAAGAUCAAGCCUAGGAAAAAAUUCAAGGUAUAGAAAUCUUUGGUAGAAAAUCAAUUUGGAUUCAAGCUCAAAUGCUUGAGAACUGAUAAUGGUUUGGAAUUUUGUAGCAAAGAAUUUGAGGAAUAUUACAAAAAAACAUGGCAUAAAAAGGCACAAAACAGUCAGGUUCACCCCCCAGCAGAAUGGCUUGGCUGAAAGGAUGAACAUGACCUUGGUAGAUAAGACCAGAUGUAUGUUGAUAAAUUCAAAGCUUCCAAGAAGCUUUUGGGCAGAAGCUGUCAAUACAACAAGUUGUUUGGUUAACAGAAGCCCAUAUUCUGCAAUUGGCUUCAAAACACCAGAAGAAUUGUGGAAGGAAAAACCUGUAAAUUACCAAAAUCUCAGUGUUUUUGGAUGCCCUGCUUAUCUCCACAUCAAUCAAGGCAAGCUGGAAGCUAGGGCCUUGAAAGGAGUCUUUGUUGGAUAUCCUGAUGGGGUUAAGGGAUACAUAAUCUGGUGUAGAGAGUAAGGGAAGUGUAUAGUCAGCAGGGAUGUUGUGUUUCAUGAAUUUGGAUUGCUAAAAGAAAAUGCAGAGAAUGAUACUAGACUACAAAAUGAUUCAAUAAUUAUCAAACAAUCUGGAACUUCCAAGGUUAAGGUGGAGCUGUUUGGAAAUAAAGACAGUAGAAAAGAGGUAGCUGAUUAUGAAGAGAGGACCACAGCUAAAGUUGAGGAACAUGAGUCAUCAGAGUUGCCACAAGCUGACUUGCAGACUUAUCAGUUAGCAAGAGAUAGAGUUAGAAGAGAAGUCAAAGCACUAGUGAGGUAUGGCUAUGCUGACUUAAUUACUUAUGCAUUGUUGUGUGCUGAUGAUGUGGCAAUUGAAGAGCCUGCUAACUUCUCUGAAGUUAUUGAAAGUGUGCAUUGUGAUAAGUGGCUUGAGGCAAUGCAAGAUGAAAUGGGAUCCCUUCAAAGAAAUCAGACCUGGACACUUGUUCCAAAUCUAGGUAAUAAAAAGUUGAUCAGUUGUAAGUGGAUCUUCAAGAAGAAUGAAGGAAUUCCAGAUGUUGAACCUCCCAAAUAUAAAGCAAGGCUAGUGGCUAGGGGGUUUACACAGAGAAAGAGUGUAGAUUUCAAUGAAAAAUUUUCCCCUGUUCUUAAGCACAUUUCAAUAAGAAUUUUAUUAGUCAUGGUAGCCUUACUUGACUUGGAGCUUGAGCAAAUGGAUGUAAAAACAGCAUUCCUUCAUGGUAAUCUUGAAGAACAGAUAUUGAUGGCACAACCUAAAUGUUUUGAGUGCAAAGGAAAUGAGGAUUAUGUUUGUUUGCUGCAUAAGUCCUUGUAUGGACUCAAGCAAUCCCCACGACAGUGGUACAUAAGAUUUGAUGAUUUUAUGGUCUCAAAAGGCUAUCACAUAAGCAAAUAUGACAGUUGUGUUUACUUUGGUGGAUCAUAUCAAGGUGGAGUUGCUUAUUUGCUUCUGUAUGUUGAAGAUAUGUUAAUUGCAAGAAAAUAUAAGUUGGAGAUAGAGAGGUUGAAGAAAUGAAGGAUCUCGGCAAUGCCAAAAGAAUCCUUGGGAUGAACAUUACAAGGGGCAGAUCUGCUGACACUUUGUUCUUGAGUCAUGAGAAAUAUAUCAAGAAGGUUCUGGAGAGGUUUGAGAUGCAAGACUAUAAACCUGUCCAAACACCACUUGGUCCCCAAUUCAAGUUGACAGCAGCUCAAUCAUCAGAAGAUGAGUCUCAGGUGAGUGAAUUCCCAUAUGCACAGGUUGUAGGGAGCCUGAUGUAUGUAAUGGUAUGCACCAGGUCAGAUAUAGCUUAUGCAGUAAGUGUUGUCAGCAAAUUUCUCAGUUGUCUAGGCAAGGUUCACUGGAAUGUUGUAAAAUGGAUAAUGAGAUAUCUUAAGGGCUCUUUUACUUGUGGUUUGCUGUAUGGGAAGACUAAGAGUGACAUAAGUGAAGUCCUGGGGUUUGUAGACUCUGACUUUGCUGGAGAUCUUGAUAGAAUGAAGUCAACCUCAGGGUAUAUGUUUGUGUUAAACAGUUGCCUGAUUAGCUGGAAGUCAUCACUUCAGUCUGUGGUUGCUUUAUCCUCAACUGAAGCUGAGUUUGUUGCAACUACAGAGGCAGUAAAAGAGGCCAUGUGGCUAAGAGGUUUGCUUAAUGAGUUAUGGUUAAAUCAGAAAAUUGUUCAGGUUUUCUGUGAUAACCAAAGUGUCAUACACCUGGUAAAGAAUCAGAUGUAUCAUGAAAGAACCAAGCACAUUGAUGUGAAGCUCCAGUUUAUCAGAGAUGAGGUUGGAAAAGGAACUAUAAUUGUGUCCAAGAUCUAUACCAGUGUGAAUCCAACUGAUGUUAUUACAAAAGCACUUCCCACUGCAAAAUUUGAAUUCUAUGUGAAUCUAAUGGGCAUCUCGCCCAAACCUAACUAAAUUCAAUAGUGAAUUGUAGUUGAAUGAAGGUUUUUUAGGUGCUGUGUUAUUGAAAGGAUCAACUGAAUCAACUGCAAGGUGGAGAAUGUGAAGAUGUGUGUGUGGACUGAAAUGAAGAAUAUGAAAAAGUUGAGAGCUGUUGUGCAGAUUGACUUCAGUUGAUGGGGUCUAUUAGAUAUUGUCUGCUGACGUGGUAUGAAUUCGUUAUAAUCUGUUAUAACGAGUUCAAUAUAUCAGUAUAUAAUGGAGCUGAUGGAUGGUGCCUGUUUUAGAGUCUUUUUCGUAUUCAUUUGUUCAUCAUUUUGCACAAGAUUUGUUCCAUUGUGAUCUGUGUAAAGUCUUCUGUAAAUCCACUCAUGAUUGGAUUAGUUCUUGAUCAAUAACGAGUAAAUUUUCCUUCAAGUGUGCUGGUCUGUGCCCCUGUUUUUGGUUCUAAUAUUGUUUCUUUGUUUUGGCAUUUCAUUUCGAUUGUGUGCUUGGUGUUUCUACUCAUCAAGAUUUGUGAGUCUUGUUGAGAUUAAAGGCUUAAUAGUCUUAACAAAAGGGAAUGUAGCAUUGCCAUUAAUCAACAUUCACUCUUAUGACUUUAUGACAUUAGAAUUAAAAUCUUUCGUACAUUUAAUUUAUUUGCUUCCAAAUUAAUCUUUAAUAAAUAUUUUUUCACAUUAUCAUCAAUGGACAAAACUCCAACGAAAAUAACUACACGAGAACAAUUUAUGCUAGUAUUAAAUGCCACGAUAUCUAUAACUUUGUCUGGAUCGAUCAUUCUAAUUUUUUCGCAGAACUUUUUGUCAAUGGACAAACACCUCACAGAGCUUGUCAGCCGCAUUAUUACGAUGUAAAAUUGUACCGGAAUAUCUUGAAUUAUUAGUAGAAUAAUGAAGACUAUUUGGGGCAAUAAAAACAAAUAACGCAGAUAAAAAAAUGGCUAAAAUUAUGUAAGUGAGCCCCAAAGUUUUUGCUAUUUCCAGGAAAUCCCAAAUUUGAAUGGACUAGAGGGAGGCACGUAAGAAAUACAUUUUCUUCCUAGACAAUGACAGCUAUGACAUCAAGCCACGGUGGCGUCAGUAUUGAAAUUAAGGUGUAAUUAUUCAGCCAAUGAGCCUUACACAUCAAGAUAAAAGUCAAGAUAAUGAAAAUUUGGCUGUUUCCAUUUGAAGUUAAAAGCAACGUUUCUUUCGUUUUGUGGGCGACUCGACUGAGCACGCCCCAAUAGCUAUAUUUAGGGCGUCAAUUUGAUAUUUGAAUGGACAGGCAAGUAAGAAAUACAUUUCCUUCAUAGACAAUGACAACGAGGACAUCAAGCCACAUCAUUAUAGUUUGUAGCCCAUCUACAUUUAAACGAUUAAUAAACAAGCUUAGGUGUGCCACUGCUAUUAUUAAUUAUCCCCUGAUCAUUAUAGUUUCUGAAACAGUAAAACUAAACGAAAUUGAAUACAUCAACGAGACCGCAAUUAUCACUUGUUUAGUUGCGGUAUUUAACUUAAUUUUAAUAUAAUAUAUUUGUUAGUUAAACUUUUAAUAAUCAAAUAAUUUUGAUUUAAAAAUAAAAUUAUAGAAAUUAUUAAUUAUUAAUUAUUAAAAAUUCACAAUUAAGGGAACGUUCAUCAAACACACAUAGCUAUUGUUUUCUCUAUAUAUUGCAGUGUGUACGAUAUUGAGGGUUGAAGCCCCAAGCAUGCUCUAAAAUCCAGAUAAUAAUUAGAUCCGGGCCAAAUAUUCAUCAUUGUGUCAGCUGAUCAGUCGGUGGACAUCUCUAUUGAAAAUAUCUCUGACAUUUCACUCGACAAACUUAUUAAUAUAAAAAAUCUGUGGUUUUGCCGUCUGAAUAAUGUAGAAAAAUUUGUCUAUGCAUUAAUCUAGAUGUUUGAGGUGAUUUAUACAUCUGUGGUAAAGAUUUAUAGGUUGACUUAGACGUCUGUGGUAUAGAUUUUAUGUAUUUCAUUACAAAAUGCUGGCCGUUAGAACCCUUUCUACAUCUAUUUAUAAGAUUAACGGGUGCCAGCUAUGCCAUUACAAAUUAUCCCCUCAUCAGAUAUUUCGUUAAAAUUCAUUCUGAAACACUAAAACUAAAUAAUCGAAUAUGGCUUUGCGGGUCGAUGAUGCCAGCAGCAAUGAGACUGCAAUUAUCACUUGUUUAGUUUCUGUGCUGGCCGUGGUUUACUUCGCAUGGAAUGUGAAAAAAUCAAGGAAAGCAAAUGCUACACUGCCACCAGGACCUCGCGGCUUGCCUGUAUUCGGAUACCUCCCAUUUCUUGGAACUACUGACUUGCACAAGAAAUUCACGGAAUUAUCCGGAGUUUAUGGUCCGAUCUUCAAGCUUUGGCUUGGAAAUAAAUUAUGUGUAGUGGUGAGCUCACCUUCCCUAAUUAGACAAGUGGUUCGUGAUCAAGAUACAACAUUCGCGAACCGUGACCCACCGAAGGCUGCACUAGUGGUCUCCUAUGGUGGCAAUGAUAUUGCAUGGUCCAAUUACGGUCCCGAAUGGAGAAAGUUGCGCAAAUUUUUUGUGGGCAAGAUGAUGAAUAACGCAAGCCUUGAUGCUUGUUAUGCUCUAAGAAGACAAGAGGUUAAAAAUACUAUCAGGGAUUUGUAUAACAACGACAACAAAAUUGGCAAGCCCAUUGACAUUGGUGAAUUGUCGUUUUCAACAUUGGUAUGUGCUAUACAGAACAUGCUGUGGGGUGAAGCGCUUGAAUUAAAAGAGAAAGGGACCACUAAUCUUAGGGCUGGGCUAAAAUUUAAGCUGGCAGAACUCAUGGUGCUUGCGGGAACACCGAAUAUUUCGGAUGUCUUUCCAAUGCUUUCAUGGCUUGACAUACAAGGUAUAGAGAGGAGAGCAAAGAAGAUUUCACUCUGGCUUGAUAAUGUUAUAAAUUCUACUGUUGAACAGCAUAGAAACAAGGAGUUAACUGUUGAAGGUGAAGAAAGAGCGGGGAAAAAUUUUGAAGGAUCAAGGAACAAGAACUUCUUGCAGUUACUAUUGGAGCUUCAAGAAAAUGAUGACAGUGCUUCCUCAAUUAGCAUGAACCAAUUCAAGGCCGUACUCGCGGUAUGUUAAGCAACUAGCCACGAACAGUUAUACAAGCACAAUUGUAUAUUUGCAUGAGUGAUAUUUUCAAC